rnacentral:lncRNA from 1 species
GUACCUGGAGAGGAACUGCUUCGUGAUGACUAAUGCAAGUGCAAGGUUUCAACACCCAUCAAGAAAUUAAGCAGGGUUUGGCAUAUCUGAAUUUGCAUACCCCUCUUUUAAUAAGCUGUGAUGUGAGAAGUACCGAGUUUUCUCUGACCUGGUGGUUCUGGAGAAUACUUGGACAUAGGAAUCAGUUAAAUUCUGUGUGUAUCGCAGCACGAGAGUAAUUUGGGAAUGAGAUGAGAGGAAAGAUGUUGGGCGAAUUACAACUGAAUAUAUGUGGCGAGCUGGACAAAAUGCGCUUUGCCAUAAUGCUGAAAUCGAGGGAGGAUGUCUGCAGAAUGGGGAUGAGCUAAAAAAUUCUUUAUCAUAGAGGAAGUACUAAUGUGGUAAGUUAUAUGUUUGUUAUUUCUGUUCCUUUUUGGGUUUUUGGUUUCUGAUUUCUUUGACUCAUGGGUGCUAAACUAGCGAUGCCGACUCUGGACGAGUAACUGAGUUUGUUUUAACUGUAAAGUUGAUCACGACUCCUUAGGGCUGUUGAGAUUAUUGUAUUAUUUUAUUAGUUGAAAAUAUUUGUUCGGGUAUAUCUUGCAAUCUGCUGUAUUUCCUCCUGGCCUGUUCGGUCAUCACUGAAUCUCGAUGGCUUCCAACUUCGUUUGGGCGCUCGGUUUGGAUGUUUGGUGCUUCUGUAUCUUUGCUUAUUAAUUUGCAGUUGAGAAUGAGACGCGAAAUGGUCAUUGGGACUUUGGAUGGCACGUAUCUGCAUUCUUUACUGUACCGGACUUUCAAUAAUCGUUCUUCAUUUUAGUUUGGAAAAUUGCCUCUGUUCUAGCAUCCUGAGGUAACGAAGUUUGGAGCCUAUGUCCUUUAAUUGUGAAAUGUCUGACAGUGUUUGAAGAUUAGAUGUGAUUAGGGCUUCCCGGGAAGAUGGAGAUUCUGGGAUGUCCUUGUUCAUUUUAUAGAUCGGUCGCAUACUAAUAUGGUGCAAAAAGUCGAUCAAGAUGUUUAUGCGCUGUGGAUUCUAAUCGACCUUGCGUCCGAGUUUUGAAAGAUUGUGUUGCACUUUGACAUUUGGGUGGGUUCAUGGAUAGGAACUCUGGCGAAUUGUUUUCUUGAUUACUUCUGGAGAUGCUGGAUUUGUCCGUGUAAUAUGUCUAGUCAUGCACCGAUUCCAUCGGCACGUCUUAAGAUUUUCGAAUUGACAAUGCCAAGGUCUGCUUUCUUUAUCGAUUUAGCUUUGUGAGAGUGAUUUUGAGGGGAAUAUUCGAUUAGCCUUAUUGUUGUUUUGGGCUACGAGGAAAUGUUCAAACUCACCAAAUAGGACGAGAAUUUUCUCAGAGAUCUGCAAAUAUCUAUUUAAUCAUCGUUGUAGGCAACCACUGUAUACACCAUUUCGGUACUGGAAAAUCACAAAAAUGGUGAUGAACCUGUUGCAAAUGUACCGAUUCUGUUCUAAUUCAUUUUUUUUUCCAGUUAGGUCUUAAAUUUUUUGUAUUUGUAUCAAUUUAGUCAAUUCGGCUAAUUUCGAGCGGAAAUUAUUAACAUGGACGCUGGUUGUGAUAAUGACUUGUGCUAACGUGGAUAAUUUUUAAAUAAUAUUUUAGUAUUUUUUCGAUUUAUUUAUUUAUUUUCUUUUUAUUUUCUUCCCUUCUUCCUCCGGUUGGUUGUUGAGGUCCACUCGUGCCAAGAUGACAAGCAUAAUAUCAAAGAUUUCCGGUCAAAUUUGGCAAAGUUGAUUCAAUUAGCAAUAUUUGAAAAAGGUUUAGGAUAAAAUUGACAUGAUUAAAAUGUUUAUGACCGAAUUAACUAAAUUAAUUCAAUUGCGAUAAGUUUUAAGAUUUUUUUUGGUUACUCUUCCUAUUAACAAUAAUUGCCUCUGAAAUUGAUUGUCAAUUAAUCGGCAUGUCACCAAGAACUAUUUCACUUUUUUCAUGUAUUUUCACAAGUAAUUGCCUUUCUUGAAUGUCUGCUCCUCCUUAAUGUAUGGUCGGUUCCACCCCCCCCAACUUAAUGAGGUUUCUUGCAUUUGCUUUUGUUUUGUCUUUCGUUUGUGGUGAUUAUAUUAAUUUUAGCUUUCUUUAAUUAAUUUGAUUGUUAGUUAUGUGUUAAUAUUGUAAUUAGCAAUUCUUAUUCUUUUUUGCCGUCAUCAUAUUUUUCACUCAUCACUGAACUCUGGAGGUUUCGCACUCCAUUAAGCCAAAAUAAGUUAUCCCCACUAAUCUAUUCCUUUAAUUUCUGUUAAUUUUCAUUCGAUUUUGUUACUUUUUUACAAAGUACUAUUUGUUUUUCAUUCUAUUCAUUUCACUGUUAGUGAUGCUGUGUUUGUGUUUGGGAGAUUGGGGAAAAUGGCAGUGAUGAAAAUUUAAGUGGAAAAAGCUUGAAUAUUUUAAAUUUUCCGCGAGAUGAGAAAACGGAAGGAAAUCUUAAAAUUAUACAAUAUGUUUUCCAAUUUCGUUCACCCAAGGGCUCCCAAACAGAGCCUUAGCGUGCGAUAUCUAUAGAACGCAGAAGCUUUCAUUUAAGAAGAGAGAGAGAGAGAGAGAGUAUCCAAAUUUUGGACGGAGGGUUCGCCAAAUCAAAUUUCAUGUUGCGAGUUUUUUUUAAUAAAAUUCUAAGCCCACGAUGAAGUUAUUAUCAAAUAAAUUCCUUGAUUCUUCUUUCUUGAUCUUGUGAUCCUCUCAUAUAGGUUUGGAUAAGAACUCUUUGUUCUUAUUCAAUCAACUAGAAUAAUGUAAAGAGAUUAUGAAAGAAGAAGAAAAGAUAAACGGGAAGAGAGAUUAUGAUAAUGUCGAAGGCUAUAUGUCAGCCUCCUAUAAGUCCACUUCAACACACGGCUUUUACAUAUAUUAUAUUAAAUUCUCACGCUUGAACUUGCAAAGAUGCUUCCACAAAUAUAAAGUCCAAAAGCAAAUGGCACACAUAACAUAUAUUCAAAGCACAUGAUGAACCCUAGAAGUCCUUACGGGCAAAUUGACAGACAUGUCGCUAUGGUAAUAAAGGAUCAGAUGCAGGAAUCCAUUCCCAGACAGGAAAGACAGCUCGAGAGAUCGUUUGCAUCCACUUCUCGUUUGGUCUCUUUAUCCUCUUCUUUCUCUUCAUCCUCUUCUUUAUCUGUCGAGAUCGGGUAGACAUUGGCGAGUUGCUCAGCCACAACGCUCAUUGCCGGCCUGUUCGCACCGCUUUGGUCCAAGCACCUCACUGCAAUCUCAGCUACGGUUCGUAUUUUCUUCAUUUCAUCUUGACUAGCACUCUCAAAGCUUAUGACAUCGGAGAGUGUGUCACCCUUCACGGAAGAGAUAAAAUGAUGGAUGGUAUUGAUUGACUUUUCAGACUUCGUAACAUGAAGUUUCUUUCCCAUGAGCAACUCCAUAAGGACAACUCCAAAGCUAUAUACAUCGCUUUGAAUUGUUAGCAUGCCAGUGACUAAAUAUUCCGGAUCGAUGUAGUGCAGGGAGUCUUUUUUCUGAAUGGCUACGAUAUGUCUAUGCUCUGGUGAUAUAAGUACCGAAGUUCCAAAAUCGGAUAUUUUCACUGAGUUGUUUCGACCCAUAAGUAUGUUUGCUAAUUUGAUAUUGCCAUGAAAGAUUGGGGGUUGUGUGUUGGAGUGCAUAUGAUUGAGUGCAAGAGCAGCUUCAGCAGCUAUUUUGAAGCGUUGUUCCCAUGUCAACUCGUUCUGUUGGAUGAGUUUGAAGAGGGUGCCAUUUGGAAUGUAUUCAUAAACCAGCAAUGGUAUUUCAGUCUCCAAACAUAUGCCUUUGAGCUUCACCAUAUUUUUGUGGCUCUUUUUCAUCAGAAAUUCAAGUUCAUCUUGGAAAUCCUGCCUUAUUAUAGACUUGUGCUCAUCUUGAGGCUUCUUGACCACGACCACAGUGUCCCCUGCUAUUGUCCCUCCAUAAACGGAACUGGAAUGGUCGUUGUUGAGCUUAUUAUUGUCACUAUAGUUGUUGGUUGCUUUUGCCAGCUCUUCCUCCGUGAAGAUUUGGACUUUGCGUUGUUGCAAGAGCUCUCCUCCAUUUCGUCUAAAGUUGAUCUUUCUCAGUCUCAACCUCAUUGUGACCGAGACAGAACCAGUAAUAGUUACGCCGAAGACGGACACAGCAAUUGCUGCCAAAGAGUAUAUGUUGCCGGAUUAGUAAUUCAAGCAUGUAAUCCUCGUACAAUCCACAUAAUUCAUUUAAAGAAAUAAAUUUCGAACACACAACCAUUUACUUUUUUUUCCUGCGCAAAAUCCAUCGAUCACUAUCGAUUUGGAAGUUAGUCAAUAUUUUAAAAUAUAAUCACCCAAUUAAAUGUUAACGGAAAUGGUUUAUGUAACAAAUGGGUUGCACGUAUGGUCCAACAAUCCUUACAAAAGUUCUUAUUAAAAAAUGACACGUGUCAUCAUAAACUGAACAAGUAAUCAAAAUGAACCAAAGUCUUCUAUUACUCCUCCAAAUAUCUGUCUUGAUUAUAAUGGAGACGCUUAGUAAUAAAACAAAAGAGAAUGAGAAAGCAUUCACCUCACAUUGUUUUAGCUCUUUCCAUUUACACAUGGUACGAAGACUCUGUGGAAUUUUAUAACCACUUAUGCACGUUAUCACUAUCAUGAUUAAAUGUUUUUCCAUCCAUUUUAUUAGAGGAAACUCCAACCGACGGGGCUACGGACAUAUACAUCACCCAUAUUCGCAUAUAUAUACGUAUGAUUCAUAACCCACCAAUGGAAUGCAUGAUUGAAAAGAUUUUCUCUAACUAAAGACGGAAAAACAUUUUCUUUUCAUAGAUUUUAUCUUUUUCUCAAAGAAAAAAAAAACUAAUCCACUUAUUAGACGACCAUUUGACAUUUUUUUUUUGUUUUUAUAAUUUUCAUUAAAAAGAAAGGCCUCAUGGUGGAUUUUACAAAAAGGGCGGCGUCAUGGGUUGCUUGUGGUAUUAGAGGUAUUAUUGAGGUAUUAUUGAGGUAUUAUUAUUAUUAUUAUUAUUAUUAUUAUUAUUAUUAUUUCAUAUUUUUGUAACAAACAUAUGUUUCUUCUUUAAAUUGUACACGGGGUGGGUUUGCGGAAAAAAAUUUGCCCCAUUCAAGGUGGCGCCCCCCGGAACACAGAGUUCUCACGCCCCAUGGCUAUCCCGUGCCCACAAACAUUCACGUUCAGAUCCAUUCCUUUUUUGUUGCUAUCAUUAUCCAAACUUUCCACAUUUAAAUAAAUAUUUUCUAGCGUGUGUAUAUAAUUUCAUUAGCUUUAUUUAAAAUGAGAAAAUAUUUUUAUAACCUGAAAAAGACUAAUACAUCCACUAUAAAGUCUAAAUUAAAAUAUGAAUUAUUAUACUGUGCCGUCACGGCGUAAUAAGAUAAUAUUGAGAUGGCACGGUAUAAUAAUCCAACCGUAUCGCCUUCUUCAACAAUCACCUUGAUAUGCUAUUACUUAAUAUCGUGCUCCUUUUUACUUUUCCUUUUACUAGUUCAAAUUCGCUCACUUUCGCUAGAGAUUUUAGGGGUUUUUUCCCUCUUGAAAUCUGCUGGUCUAGUUGUUCUUUUUGGCUCAAGAUUUACAGGUUUGGUCGGAGGAGGGAUUUUCACUUGGAUCUUGCAGUGUAUCUUCCCACGAACGUAGUUUCAAAGUGCAAGCUUCAGAUAAACGGGAAAAAAGGCUAGAAGGGAGGUAAAAGAAAAACAAAAGAAAGUUGUAAACGGGUUUAGCCUGGGACUGAAUAGGAACCUGUGGUAGCAUGGGGCUCACUGCUUGUGCUUACCAGGAAUUUACAUAGGCUAAUAAUCCUUAAAACAAAUAUGUCAAACCUACUGCAAAAUCAAAUAUAAGUUAAUAGAAUAUAAACCAUCCAAUGAAUGGAGGGAUAUAUUUGGAAUUACCUGCACCAGCUAUGACGCCAGGAGGAAUUUCGCAACGGUCAUUAUUGUUCUUCUUUCUGUGCUUCUUUCCAACUGGGCAAAUGGCUACAUUAUGCAAAAGACAAAUUGAACCGUUAUCUCGAUUAAUGGCAAAAACAAAUUGAAUAGGUUGGUGCAGGGAUUAUUAGUCAGGUAAUGCUAUCUCAUUCAGGUCUUGGUUGUAUUAUUGCGACAUGUAUCCACUCUCUCUUAAGAUAUCUCUUCUUUCUCUACUCUCUAUCUCUCUCCUGGUCGAAGAUAGUACCGGGGACUUGUCACUGCAAGAUGAGGUACAAGCCAGACUCAUAAAGGAAGGAAGAGAGAGAGAGAGAGUCGUCAUCUUUGUUGCUUGCAAUGGUGGUACUGGGGACUUGUCAAUGCCGAGAUAGGGUACAAGCCAGACUCAUGAAGGGAGAGAGAGAGAGAGAGAGAGAGAGAGACAGUCGUCAUCUUUGUUGCUUACAGUGGUGGUACUGGGGACUUGUCACUGCCAAGAUGAGCCAGACUCAUGAAGGAAGGAAGGAAGAGAGAGAGAGAGAGAGAGAGAGAGAGAGAGAGACGUCAUCUUUGUUGCUUGCAGUGGCGGUGGCACUUAAUGUCAUCUCUAAAGUGGAGGUGCCGUUGCCGGUGGAGGAGAGGGAAAAGUGUAUCAGCGUAGAUAGAUAGAUAGAGAGAGAGAGAGGCGGCUGUGGUGGUCCAACGGCUGGCUGGCCUAAAGUGGUGGGCGGAUGACGGUGGCAGCGGCAAUGGCAUGAGUCGCAAGACGGAGAGUGGAGGAAGAGGUUGCAGCGCAAAUCGAACGGCGGCUAAUUAAAUGGGGUAAAACUAGAUGGAAUUAGUAGGUAGAUACAAUACUUCUCCAUCAGGCUCUUGCACGUUGAUUAAUUAAUUACCCACACAAUUCAUUCGAGUGCGAUAAUGAAUGAGGAGUCGGGUACGUUGAAUUACCUUUACACCCUCCGAAGGGACUAUAAGGAUUCCCAUGGUACCCAGGAUUGCAAACGCAACGAUAACCCGAUCCAUUCCCGAAGUCUGUACAAUUCGCGUUUUUACCACAGGCAUAGCUCGAACUGUCCUUGGCCUUUUUGCAUCUCACGUUCGAUUCGACCAUCCAGUCCAGAACAAGGCUCGUGUUUUUACCCACAUCCUGGAACGUCGGGAGAGUCAAGUUUGAGAUAUUGAAUGGCCUGUUGUCCACCAUGAAGGCCCGUGCACAGUGGCCGGGUUUCGGCACGUUUAGGUCGAUGGAGGAGAGGUUAAUGUUGAGCGUCUCGAGCCCCCCUGGGAUGGAUGCUUGACAGCAACCUUGACCGGAGCAAGUGGUCUCCUUGGCGAAGUCGACAUUGCUGGAGCAGUAGGAGGCGCAACCUCUACUGCUUUCUUCGUCCACGACCGCAAGGGCGUUGCAGCCGACGACGAUGAGCUUGUUCUGGGUUUCUGAGAAUCUGUACCGAGGAUUUGGAGGUAGAUUGAUGGCCAUGCUUCUGUUUUCCAGGAUGCCAUUCUGAUCGUAGCACUGGUAUGCUUCGGGGAGGCUGACGACCAUGGUCGAGUCCCCGACCGAGAUUUUGAGUAUCGUAAGAUUCCCCAACAUUAGUCGAAAACCGCUCGCUCCGAUGUUGGUGCAAUCGAGCAAAAGAUCUGUGGACCUCAUACACUUGGGUUCGAGCCCGAAUGGAUAAGGUACGGUCACGCCCCCACACUGGCGUGUGCAGUUUCUGCGCACGGCGGCGCUGCCUUGUUGGAACCACCAGGCCACAGCCACCGUUAGAAGCCAAUGCCCUAUCUUCAUUUCGAAAAAAACUCUCUAAAACUCUCUCUCACGUAAUUUCUGUCGGUUUUGGGACCUUUGUGCUUCUGUCCGCGUUUAUAGAGUGGAAGCCGUUCUCACUGACCCAUUAUAUACACAUCGACGAAUUGGCGAAAUUUAAGUACAACAAUGGAGGGCAGCAGGGGCAAAUUGUGUCAAUAGAACAAAUUGGAGGGACCCGAUUGCAUAUAUCAACAAAUGCGAGACAGAAUUAGAAAAAAAAACAAUAUACAAAGGUUUUACACAUAAAGGGUAGUGCGCCCUUAGUCCUUGUCCUAGUGAAAGGGAUGGUCACAGCAUAAGAAGAUGAAUACAUGAUUGUGAUGUUGAGGCUAUUAGCAAACUUUUCUCUAUCUUGUAUCAAAGAAGAAACCAGCAUACAUAGUAAUGAGAAAUUCUAAAUGCGUAAAGAACUCCUAGUAUAACUUUUUUACCAAGUGAUAUGACAAAUUUUAAUUGAGCAUUCAAAUAAGUGAAAUCUAUUCUUUGAAUGCCUGCCUUGUUAGAAGCCUAAAAGAAAUUGUCACAUUAUUUAUUAUAAAAAUUUUAGGGUGGCUAUUACGUUUUAAAAGGACAUUCACAUAUCGGCCACAAGUUCCACUAUAGGAGAAUUGCCAACCGGCUUGAAAGGUUAAUGAAACUCAAGGUGACACUAAAAAUAAGAUGGCCCUAGAAUUACGAUGGGAUUUAAACAUUUUUAUUAGAGUUAUGUUUAAGAUGGCCUUACAAUUCUAAAUACAAAGGGAAAAAAGCUGAGGAAAUUUUCGUAUAGUUUUUUUUUUUGGCCAUCAUGGGUAUAAGAUCACAAAUAAAUAAAAUCUAUACAAGACCAAAAAAUCAACUAGAGCUUUUGAUCAUAAUCAUUUUACAGUUUCUUAGGAUGCAAGAUUUUAGGUUCAAUUGGAAGAUUGAUACCAAAGAAAAUAAUGAAGUUUAUCUAUGACCUGGAAUCGGAAUAGAAUUUUAAUACAAUUUCUUUAUAAAUAUAGCAUUACUCUUAUAGAAUAGUGAAGACGAAGUAAAACGAACAUUAGGAAUUAUCACCAUUGGGGAAAAGGCUUACUUCCUAGUAAUUUUAGAACUCUUGAGCCUUACUAGUCACAUGUUUGAAUUUGCCCUGGUUCUUCUUGACCUCGAGAAAUCUUAAUUCGUUUCUUGUUUAAGUUUAACUGUACCAUGACAUAGGAUUGUCCUCAUUAUACUCUCAUUAUAUCUUGGUGAGCUGAUGGUGAUAGGCCUACCUAAAUUAAGAGUAGCUCAAAUGGAAUAUAACGUCAUGCGUGUGGAACUCUUAUGGUAAUUCUCUGAGGUAGUCACUAGUAGUGGUCACCCUUUCCUCCCAUUAUACCUAUCAAAUAAUAUUAUCAUAGUAAUGCUAUUGUGACGUACAAUGGUAAAUUUAUUUGCAUAAUUAUCCCUGCAAGAUGAGAAAUGCUAUACCGGAAAAAAAUGUGGAAUAAUUAUAGGAUAUACAACUAGUGUAAACAAACAAAUUUAUUUUUGGUUGAUUAAUUAUAGGAAAAAAAUUAUUUUACAUGAGCAGGCGCAUACACCAUUGACUUGAAAGAGUGUGUAGCUAUAAUCCUUAAUUAAGGAUGAACAAGGCUGCCUAUGUAAAAUUUCUUUUAUAAUGGUGUAUGUAUGAUCUAUUUUUCGAAAAAAAAGAUAUAGAGAGGUAUGCUUGCUAGAAGAUGUAGUAUGCAAUUGCUGGUUAAUUAAAUGAAGGCACACUUCGUUGGUCUCAUGCUUUCAGUAAUUAAUCGACCACAAGAAUGUAUCAUGCCACAUUAUUUUGUGAUUUAAUUUGUGAUAAAUAAAUUGUUGACACAUUUUUUAAUGGCUUAGAUUUUAUUUUUUGGGAAAAACAGUAAGUUUACCAUGGUCUCCGAACACACUGACUUGAAUUCUAACACACCCUCUCAAUUUUCUCUUGCCUAUUAUUCCUAUUUUUCUCAUAUCCUGUUAGUCUUUCUACUCAUUAAUUAUCUAGUAGGAAAAUAAUCACGUGUCAACUACAUAUAAAAUUGCUUGUAUAGAGAAUUUUGUAGUUGUGGUGUUCUUUUUGGAUUUUUAUUGUGAGUACACGGUUGGAAAGAGGAGUGCUAGACAUUGCCCUAAAUAAACAUAUGACAUCUUGUUAGUGAGUUCUUAAGCGUAAUGGUGAAGUAUACUUUAUGGAAAAAGAUUUGAUUUAUAAAUAUUGAUUACAUCUAUUACCAUAAAUUUAAGUGUCUAAAUUAUCAAUGUAGAUAUCUUUUUCUAUUUGAUUACUUACUAAGUGUCAUAAGAGUACCCCUUCUUAAUAUGUAAAAGUUUAUAGAAUUCAGCAAUCUAAAUCUCUAAAUUAUUAGUAAAUACAAUGUGGUGUAAUUAAGAUCACUUAUAGGAGAAAACCCUUCUUAGGCCGUGAACAGAACAACGAUUUUAUUUUAAUUUUGAUUGUAUUCGUCUUAAAUUAAAUGGUAAUCGACUUGCUAUCACGACCCUGAAACUUUGAAUACGAUCCAAAACAAAAUAGUACCUUUUUUUUUAAUAUAAAGAAUCUAGACUAUUUGCCUUAAACAAAUAUCACGAUGUACGCAAUUUGCCUAUUCCUAUGCAUCCAGUAAAUUUCUAUCUACAUGGAGGUGGGUAAAGUUAUUUUGAAUGUGAGAAGAAAUCUAUCGUAUACAAAUUAACAUUCAAUCAAUAAUUCGAGGUUUUAAAACGACAUGAGAACAAAUUAUUUUGUUCGUCUAGUCCUAUUUCGGGCGGUCAUUUUUCAUAUUAUCCAUCGCACGGCUCUAUCGAGACGGAACUAAAGCAACGUGUUUCACGACAAGGGGGAAACAUAGAAAACCACCUUGCCCUCGACUUUUGGAGAGACCUUUUCCUUUCCAGUUGGCCUGACCCCGCACGCACUAACAAUAACAACAUGCUCCGUAUUUUGUGAUGAGCCGAGUGGAUCUCCAACGUCGAUUUAUGUGGGCUCCACAUGAGAUGGACGCCACUAACUGCUGGAAGUUCACUUGGAUUUUGUGCAUCCGGUCCGGGCAAGUGUGGCCUGGAUGCGAAUAAAAACCUCAGGGCCCAACGCCCGGUGACUGACCGCGUGAUGUCUCGUACGGGAAGACUUGGUGACUGUGCACGAAGACUCACGAGUCGUCUCGAAGUCUCUUGCAGAACAAGACAAAAUGCGAUAGAAAAACUAAAGAAAGGGGAGAUCGUGGGAUUCCCAAGAAAAUAAUUAUGAUUACCUAAACAAAGAAUUAUUUUUUUCUUCAGAAAAUAUUAUUUUCAGGUUAAUAUUAUGAAAAAUCCUAAAUUGAUAUUUUAUGAUAAAUUUACAAAAAAUUAACUUUUUGAUUACGAAAUAUCUCAAAUUGAUACAUAUGUGACCAAUUUACCAUAAUAUAAUUUUUUAACCACUAAAAACCUCAAAUUGUGACAUUUAUAAUAAAUUUAUCCUCAAUUAAUUUUCAUUAAAUUUGACUAAUAUCACAAAAAGUCACAAGUCGGUAUACUUAUGACAAAUAGAAGGUAAAACCCUAAAUUGAUAUACUUGUUGACUGUCAUGUUAUUCAACUCAACAAUUUGACGGUAAAAUUUAACAGAAACUAAUGAAAUAUAAAUUUUUUACAUGUGUACCUGUUUGGGCCAAAUUUGUUCUAUAUGUAUCAGUUUAGGAUUUUUUCAUAAUAUUAAUCUUUUUCUAAAAAAAGUUACUUUUCACAUCUCGAAUAACAAAGAUAAUGGUGUACUAGUGUUUGAAAAAAAGUAGUCCCCUUAUAUGUAUAUGAACACAUACCGUAUACUCACUGUGAAGCCUCAACAUGUAUCCAUAAUCGUAUUUUUGGUCAUAGAAUAUGUAUUAAAAUAAAAAAAAUCUUGCAAUAAUCUCAAGUAUUUUGUAAUGAUAUACAAUAGUAUUUGGUUAAAUGAGAUAAGCAUUCAAAAGUACAUUUGAAUAGUAGUUCCAUACGCGUAGUUAAAUACAUCAUUAAUUAAUACAAAGAGUAAUAGUGUAUUCAUAGGACAAUGUAAAGCAUAACUUUAUUAUUAUUAUUAUUAUUAUUAUUAUUAUUAUUAUUAUUAUUAUUAUUAUAUUAUAGUAUGCAAAAUAAGAUCUCUCUUAACCUUUAACCACCUAAUUUAUGGGUAGUGUUCAAUGUUAUUCUAAUCUUUUAGUGGGGUAAUUGGGCAAAAUUACUUUGAACGUGUUUUCUUAUCAACAAAUUUCUUUUCAUGUGCCUAGGACCACUGGAUCAGAUACACCAUGGCUUGAUCAUGUAGAUCACACAAGUGAGUCCCACAUGAUCGACGGCUACAAUUGCAUUGAGUUGAUAUAUGAGUCCAGGCAAGUGAUUCUUUAUUUACUGCAAUGUACUUUUAAUGGUCAUAGUCCGUUUUGGUUGGAAAAUUGCCUCUAUUUAAAGGUUAUGAGACAAUGAACUUUGGAAUCAUGUCCUUUAUAUGCAUUAUUUCAAUAUUUAGCGACCAAAUAUGGUUAAGAGUGACUGUAAGAUGGAAUACUCUCCCUUUUCCAAGAAUAUUUUUAUUUAUAUUAUGAAUCGGUCGCAUACUUAUAUGAUGCAAAGUGAUCACAAUGUCCAUGUGAUGCGAAUUCUAGUCAAUCUUGUGUAUGAGUUUUGAAAACCUCAUGCCGCCUAUUAUGGAAAAUAUUGGAUUUAUACGUAUCGGUUACACAUAUAAUGAUAAAGUAUUAUUAAAAAUAAUUAAUAUUUAUUUUUGUUUGGUUACUUUUUUUUUUGGUCGGUUUUGUUUGGUUACUUAAUAAGUGUCAUAAGGUGACACCUUCUUAAUAUUUAUUGUUUGGUUACUUAAUAAUUAAAAUUUAUUUUUGUUUAGUUACAUAUAAUGACGUUGCAAUCUAAUCUCUAACUAUUAGUGCUACUGCAUGUAGCCAUUAAGAUCAUUCAUAGGAGAAGACCCUUCUUUUAAUUUUGAUUGAAAUCAUCUUAUAUUAAAAAGGGUAAUUAACUUGCUAUCACAAGCUGAAAAUCUUGACACGUAGUCCAAAACAAAUUAUUAGCUUCUUUUUUUGACAAUACAAAGUAUUUAAACUUUUCGACUUAAAUUAAUGUCAGUAUUGCAAGCAACUUGCGUGUUCACAUGGAUUUAGUAAAUAUCUAAAUGUGAGUAGUUGUGAUGGAAUCUACCACAUUUAAAUUCGACAUCUAAUCACUUAGUCAAUAAUUCGAGGUUUUAAAGCGAAAUGAUUUGACUAAGGUGAAAGUUAUCACCAAAUUAUUUUGAUCAGAGUCUAGAACAGUCAUUUUUUAUAUCAGAUGGAAAGUUCAUUUCACCCUAAAGUAAAAUGUGUUACCCAACAAAAAUUAAACAUAGGGAAGUACCUUGUAUUAACUCGUGAUGAGACCUUUUCGCUUUUAUGCUAGCUUCAGACUCGGUUGGCCCGACCUUAUCCCAAGAAAAAGAUUAAAGUAACAUGUCAGGCGUCACGUGAAACUGACAUCAUCUAAUAAUUGAUAUUCGCUGAGAUCUUGUGCAUUCCGUUCAUGCAAGUGUGGCUUGGAUCCGCACUAAAACCACCGGGCCCUAUGCCUGGUGACCACCACGGGACACUUGGUGAUGGUGAAACGAGACUGGCAACGCUCUCUUGAUUCAUCAAGGCUUCAAGUCGUCUCAAAGUCUUUCGAAUAACAAGAUAGCACGCCGGAGAAAAAAGAUGUCGUGGGGUUCACCCCGAUCCACCGGAGGAUGACGUUUCUCAGUGACGAAAGCGACAUUACGCGAAAUGAGGAUGUCAGGUGAGGGAGACAAUUGAAAGAUGCUUUCGCUCGGUUUGGUCGGACAACGACCAUUGUUAAUAGCCAUGGAGGACCGGAGGAGCGCAGGGUUCCACGAAGUGUGUUUCUCAGUCCUCUAAAACCUAAAACCUACUGUAUUUUGUUGAUGAUCUCUCCGUCUCAGACCAAGAUGAUGAGGUAUAACAACAGCGGAACCCAAAAAUAGAUAAGUGAUGUUGUUCGCGAUGCCGUGGAUGCCUCUUCCUAUUUUAGUACCUUCGUUUUAAUGAGCUCUUAUCAUAUAAGAUCGUUGUUAAUUUAAUUAUAAUACUUUCAUACAUUUUAAGUCUUUCAAAUCUUCGAAAACAGAAAAUUUCGAAUUCAUACACUAUAGAUAUAUGUCUAUAAGAGAGAAAAAGAAUUAACAAUUAUCUUUCCAGCAAAUUAUUGAUUUUACUCCGAGAACUAUAGAUAUAUGUUGGAAGAUAUGGAUCUUGUACAAUAUUCUUUAGGAUUUAGACUGAUAUGCCAGAUCAAUUAAUAUCAGUCUAAUAUCGGAAUUGAUUUUGUAAUAUUCUUUAUUUCCUUUUCUUGCACAUGCCUAGUACAUUACUUGAACAAAAUAGAAUAUACAAAAAUUUCCACGAUUUUCCUUGUUCUUCCUUGUUUUCUUUCAUGGUAUCGGAGCGGGCUUCGCUUCUGAUUUAGUUUUAGCUUCCACUUCCACGCCUCUUUUUUUUUUUGAUUGCCUGCUGGUAUUCUUUUGAGGAACACGCUAACUUGCUAAACAACGUUAGCACUCCGACGUAAGAAUCAGUUUCUCAGGUAAAAAAAGGGCAAGUGAAGAAAAGGAACACCUUACCGUCACCAUGGCAGAAGAUCAACCGUCGUCUACUAGAGAGCAUAUCACAGAAGAGGAAAUUCAAAACUCUACUGUGAACUUACCUACUGAAGCUACCAAAUUCCAAGUCCAACCAAAUGUGGGAUUUUUUCCAUGGUAGCCUGGUCUAGGGCAACCCAUUCCAGGCUAAUCCACAUUGGGUCAGGCCAUGGCAGGUCAACCAUACCAAUGGGUACUUGUUCCUAUUUAGUCCAUCCCAUGGUACUACAGGCUAAGCCCAAGCACUCCAUGGCUUGGAACCCAAAUUUCUGAAGACAAUGUUCAGCCCAAUAAUGGCUCACCAACCAUAGACGGGGCAAGCGCAAAUACUGGGUCUGGAAAUCAAAAUGCGGGAUUAUCAAGUGGGUCGCUUAACCCGGGUAUGGGUUCAAAUACCUACCCAACAAUAGCAGCCGAAUUCUUGCCGUACCCUCUCUCCGCCAUUUCCGAUCGGCCAGAACUCGGUGAUCCAUUGUACGUAUCUAUUGUCGAUGGACUAGAGAUAUGACUCAUUAGUCAACAACUAAGGGGAUCUGAGAACUAUUCAAUCUGCGCUCAAGAAUUUCGUUGAGCCCUUGUUACUAAAGAUAAAGAAGGGUUUAUCGAUAGAUCUAUUCCCGUUCCGAUAGACAAGAGGAUGGUGAGACAAUGGAAGAAAUGUAAUCAACUAGUAAGAACGUGGAUUGGGAACUGCAUUAGCCUAGAAAUUGCCGCUGGACUUCCUCCCACAGAAGAUUCAAAAAAGAUGUGGGACAAUAUAUGGGAAAUGUAUGGAAAAUUGGACCGUGCACAUUUUUUUUCCUUGACCCAAGCACUUUCCAAACUGAAACAGGGGAAUACGAGCAUUACAGCCGUUUUUAACAAGUUGUCCGCUCUCUGGAACGAGUUGGAGGCAGCAGAGGAGAAACUUGAAGGGCAUAAGACCACUUUGCAGCAAUACAAGGCGAUACGAGACAGAGAGAAAGUUACCCGUUUCUUGCUCAUUCUAAAUGACUCUUACCUGACGUCUAGAUCUUAGAUCUUAGCCAUGGAACCCAUGCCAUCGCUCGGCCGUAUUUUCCAGUUGGCCAUCCAAGAAGAGAGUCAGAGACUCACGGCAAUGGAGCAUGCGAGAGGAGCAGAGACGCUGGUCUUGGCUGCUCGCAGGGAGAAAGGAGACGGAAACCGGAAAGUUUCAGAACGAGGGAUGCAGCCAGAAGAGCUAGGGUUUUCACAUGCUUUUAAAGUGCCUGAGAUGGACGGUCUAAAUUGUGAGGCGCGAUCGGACGGCUGGAAGGGGCCCGAUUCCUCAUUAGGAUCGGAUGGUGGGCAUGCGGCUGUUUUUAAAGGAUCCAACGGUCCACAAUUUUAUGUGAGUUCAAAGGCUUAUGGGCAAAAUAUAAGAGGGAAAGAUAAGUAAUUUUGUGAAAACUGCAAGCGACCCCACCACACCAUUAACAAUUGCUGGAAAUUGCAUGAUAAGCCCAGUGAAAAAGGAAAAUGGGGGAAGGAAUCUUCAAUAGCAACUUAUUAGACCACUGGUUCGAAUAAUGAUCAGCUCAUCACUCAAGAGCAGUAUCAGCAGCUUAUGUAGGCAUUGCAAAAAAUGGACAUCUCCAACAAAGGAAGUAGCUUCUCAAGUAUUUUUCAUUGUCUGAUAAAUUCUAUUUCUCAAAAUUCUUGGAUAAUCGACUCAAGGGCUAGUGAUCAUAUUGUCUAUGAUAAGGGCUUCUUUUCCAUUAUUCAUGAAAGUUUAAGUAUUCAUGUUUCUGUACAAUUGCCUUACCUAUGUGACCACUACAAGAAUUGUGAAUCUUAGCCCUCAAAUAACCCUAAGAAAUGUCCUCUAUGUUUCAGAUUUCCAGUUCAAUCUGUGUGUCUAGAGUCUGUAAGGAAAACUUUUGUCAAAUUCUUUUCAAUGCUGAUAUUUGUUUUUUCGGGCCCUUUUGACUGGGAAAUUGAUGGGCUUGGGUAAUCUCUCCAAUGGACUUUUUUUUUUUUUUUUUUCUGGACUAGCAUUCCAAGAACUUUAGAUUUAUCUCAAGUUUUCUCCAAUAAGCAAUCAUUGUGUAAUGUCACUGCCAAUGAUAAAAAUUUCCUUUUGUAUUCUAGAAUGGGCCAUAGUGCCUUGUUUCCUUACUCUCAGUGUCAUAUCUGCCCACUUGCAAAACAAUCACAUGCACCCUUUCCGGUUAGCAAAAGUCGUUCCACUAGUACUUUUUCGCUAAUUCAUGUUGAUGUAUCGUGACCGUAUCAUACACCUAAUCAUGAUAGAUCAAGAUAUUUUCUUACUAUUGUUGACGACUAUUCUUGAGCAACAUGAAUCUUCCUCAUGCAAACUAAGGGUCAGGUUCUAUCCCACUUAAAGGAAUUUAUUUCCUUAUCAAAGACCCAAUUUGGAAAAUCUAUCCAGCAGAUUAGAAUAGAUAAUGGAAGAGAAUUUUUCAACUAUGAAUGCGCAUCAUAACUUGCAUCCUAUGGCAUCUUGCAUGAAAGUUUGUGCACAUACACUCCACAACAAAAUGGACUAGUGGAAAGAAAGCAUCGACAUAUUCUGGAAGUGGCAUGUGCCUUGAAGUUUCAAGCCUCUUUCCAGAUAAUCUUUGGGGAGAUUGCAUGAUCAUGACAAUCUACUUAAUUAAUCGGAUGCCAACAAAGGUGUCGAACGGUUGAAGCCCUUUCGAAGUCAUUUUCCAGAGGAAGCCAAAACUAGAUCACCUAAGAAUAUUUGGGUGUUUAUGCUACGUUGCUACGGUAGGCCCUCGGGAAAAAAUGAGUCCUCAUGCCCAACGGUGCAUAUUCAUGGGAUACCCAAAUCUCCAGAAGGGGUAUCGCGUGUUUCAACCUUCUACAGGAGAAUUCCUCAUAAGUAGAGACGUAGUCUUCCAUGAAGACAUGUUUCCAUUUGCUGAAGAUCAAUCCUCAAAAGAAAAUGAUCUCAAUCCUUCUCGAGCUAUUUUCUCUUAAGACGAUAUAUCCAAGGAUCCUGAAUAUGUUAUGAUAGGAAAUUCGGGAACUUUCAAUAGUCCUUCCACAAGCGAUCGAACUACUAUUGAGGCUAUUUCUCCGUCACCAAGAUUUGAGGAUGCAACUACUAAAGAAGCUCCGGAUCUCAUGACAGCACCACCUAUGGAAGAGUCUCUACCAUCAAGUUCAGAUCCUCCUCAACGUUUAGGGCGCGCCAUACACCCACCAACCUGGACUAAGGAUUGUGUUUGUGCCACACACAACUCACCAGGUAUUCACUAAUCCCAUCUCAUCCUAUGUCUCUUUCAAUCAAUUGUCUUCGGAACAUAGACAAUGUGUUAGUCGCAUAUCUGAAGAAAGGGAACUAGCUAGUUAUGAUGAAGCAUCCAUGGAUACACACUGGCAAAAGGCCAUGACAGCAGAAUUGCAAGUACUAAAUGACAACCAUACAUGGGAUCUUAUGACUUUACCUUUUGAUAGUAAAGCAAUAGGAUGCAAAUGGGUUUACAAGAUAAAUUUUCAGGGAAGAUGGAUCGAUUGAAUGAUAUAAGGCUCGCUUGGUGGCCAAAGGGUUUACACAACGAGAAGGAUUCGACUAUCAUGAGACCUUCUCCCCAAUAGCCAAAGAUGUCAUGGUCUGCUCCUUCCUAUCAGUUGCAGCUUUCCAAGAUUGGUCAUUACACCAAAUGGAUGUCCACAAUGCAUUUUUACAUGGCGAUUUGGAUGAAGAAAUUUAUGUGGAGCUUCCUCAGGGUUUACGGAGACAGGGGAAGAACAGAGUAUGUCGUCUCCGCAAAUCCCUUUAUGGUCCCAAACAAGCAUCCAAACAAUGGUAUGCCAAGUUCGCGAAUGCUAUCAUAGCAACAGGUUUCAAACAGUCCAAAUAUGAUUACGCUCUUUUUAAAUGGACGAAAGGUACGUCAUCCAUAUAUUUAAUGAUAUACGUUGAUGAUAUACUCAUUAUGGGUAACGAUGCAAUUGCCAUAAAGAGCUUCAAGGAAUACCUGCACUUGACAUUCCACAUAAAGGAUUUGGGAUCACCCAAAUAUUUUCUGGGAAUAGAAAUUGAUCGAUCAAAUCAAGGGAUUUUCCUUAGUCAACGAAAAUUCGUGCUAGAGAUCAUAUCAUAAGUAGGUCUAUCAGGAAGCAAACCAGCAACUGUUCCAAUCGAACAAAAUGUCAAGUUAACUAUGGUGGGCCAUGAUGAAGGAAAUCUCCAAGAUGAUCCUGUUCUCAAAGACUCGUCAGGUUAUUAAAGGCUGGUAGGAAAGCUCAUAUAUUUGACAUGACUAAACCAUAUAUAUGUUAUGCUGUGCAGACACUCAGUCAGUUUAUGCAUAAGCCAAAGUAGUCCCAUAUGAAUGCCGCCCUAAAGGUUGUUAAGUAUUUGAAGAAAUGUCUAGGAAUUGGAAUUCUUCUUUCAAAUAGUUGCAACAUGGAGAUGACGGCUUAUUGUGACGCUGAUUACGCAACUUGUCCGAUGAGCAGGAGAUUUAUUAUAGGAUUUUGUAUCAUGCUGGGAAAAUCUUUACUUUCUUAGAAGACAAAGAAGCAGCCAAUAAUUACCAAAAAAAGAAGAAGAAGCAGCCAACCGUGUCUUUAUCUUCAGCAGAGGCUGAAUACCGAGCUAUGGCAAAGACCACUUGUGAAAUAGUGUGGUUGCGAGGCUUGCUUCGGGACCUUGGGGUGCAAACAAAGGGACCAACCAUGUUGUUUUGUGAUAAUGAUGCAACACUUAAACUUGCGUCCAAUCCUAUACUGCACGAAAGAACAAAACACAUAGAAGUAGACUGUCACUUCACUCAAGAGAAGAUUCAAGAGGGGAUAAUCAAAACAAGAGGAAUUGGGACUACAGAACAGCCUGCAGAUGUCUUCACCAAACCCCUAUGAGAAAACACGCAUAUCUACUAAGCAAGCUAAGUGUCUUAGACAUCUACAAGCCACCGGCUUGAGAGGAAGUGUUGGAAGAUAUGCGAUCUUGUACAAUAUUUUUUAGGAUUUAGAUUGAUAUGCCAGAUCAAUUAAUAUCAGUCUAAUAUCGGAAUUGAUUUUGUCAUAUUCUUUAUUUCAUUUCCUUGUACAUGCCUAGUGCUAUAACCGUAGAGCAUUGUACAUUACUUGAAUAUAGAAUAGAAUAUACAAAAAUUUCCACGAUUUUCCUUGUUCUUCCUUGUUUUCUUUCAAUAUAUAACUGUGGGGGCUUUCAAAAUUAGGUAUUAAUUGCUUAUUUUGAAUUUUUUUUAUAUGCAGUAAGGUAUAUGUAAUAAGGUCUAUGAAGUAGACAUAUGUUAAGUAUAGGUGUACGCACAUUAGCGCACACUCGUGAUUGCUAGAUCUUUACAUCGGUCCUAACACUUUUAUUAUUUUCGUCUCUUUCUAGAUUGGAUUAAAUGGCUGGAACUCCCUUCUGGAUGCAAAUGGGCAGUCGCCGUAUUCCUACGCUGUGAUGAGGAAUAAUCACUCCUACAAUGAGCUUGUGUCCUGUAAACUUGCUGACAGGAAGAACAGUCAAAUUUCCGUGAUAAUCGGAAGCGAAAUGGAGGACUUGCAGCCAUCAGUUGCGCAAGAGUCUGGCCAAUGUGCCCAGUCUCAGUCGAGUGUGGGCUCGUGCAUGAGAUGUGCGGUCGCGGCAGCAAAAUAUGGUAGGAGAUUUCCGGCCUCACAUGGGCUGCUUCAUCGGCCCUAUAUCCAUUCAAUGCUUGUUGUUGCAGCUGUCUGCGUCUGUGUUUGCCUCUUCUACAGAAAUAUACAAAGGUUGGUUGUGGUGAUACUCCCUUCAAUUGGAAAAAAUUGGAUUAUGGUGCUAUUUAGGGAGUACAUCUACUAACACAUAAGACGAAGCAAAAGGAAGCUAAUGUAAAUAUGAAGGCAGACUAGAGUGCAUUUGUAUCUGGAGAGGAACUGCUUCAAGAUGACUAUGCAAGUGAGAGGUUUCAAAUACCCAUCAAGAAAUUUAGCAGGGUUUGGCAUAUCUGAAUUUGCAUACCCCUCUAUUUAAUAAGCUGCGGUGUGAGAAGUACCAAGUUUUCUCUGACCUAGUAGUUCUGGAGAAUACCUGGACAUAGGAACCGGUUAAAUUCUGUGUGUACCGCAGCAUGAGAGUAAUUCGGGAAUGAGAUGAGAGGAAAGAUGUUGGGUGAAUUACAACUAAAUAUAUGUGGCGAGCAGGACAAAAUGCGCUUUGCCAUAAUGCCAAAAUCGAGGGAGGAUGUCUACAAAAUGGGGAUGAGCUAAAAAAUUCUUUAUCAUAGAGGAAGUACUACUGUGGUAAGUUAUAUGUUUGUUAUUUCUGUUCCUUUUUGGGUUUUUAAUUUCUGAUUUCUUUGACUCAUGGGUGCUAAACGAGCGAUACCGACUCUGGAUGAGUAGCUGAGUUUGUUUUAACUGUAAAGUUGAUGGCGACUCCUUAGGGCUGUUGAGAUUAUUGUAUUAUUUUAUUAGUUGAAAAUAUUUGUUCGGGUAUAUCUUGCAAUCUGCUGUAUUUCCUCCUGGCCUGUUCGGUCAUCACUGAAUCUCGAUGGCUUCCAACUUUGUUUGGGCGCUCGGUUUGGAUGUUUGGUGCUUCUGUAUCUUUGCUUAUUAAUUUGCAGUUGAGAAUGAGACGCGAAAUGGUCAUUGGGACUUUGGAUGGCACGUAUCUGCAUUCUUUACUGCACCGGACUUUCAAUAAUCGUACUUCAUUUUAGUUUGGAAAAUUGCCUCUGUUCUAGCAUCCUGAGGUAACGAAGUUUGGAGCCUAUGUCCUUUAAUUGUGAAAUGUCUGACAGUGUUUGAAGAUUAGAUGUGAUUAGGGCUGCCCGGGAAGAUGGAGAUUCCGGGAUGUCCCUGUUCAUUUUAUAGAUCGGUCGCAUACUAAUAUGGCGCAAAAAGUCGAUGAAGAUGUUUGUGCGCUGUGGAUUUAACAGACCUCGCGUCUGCACUUUGACAUUUUGGGUGGGUUCACGGAUAGGAAAUCUGGCGAAUUGUUUUCUUGAUUACUUCUGGAAAUGCUGGAUUUGUGCGUGUAAUAUGUCUAGUCAUGCACCGAUUCCAUCGGUACGUCUUAAGCUUUUCGAAUUGACAAUGCCACGGUCUGCUUUUUUAUCGAUUUAGCUUUGUGAGAGUGAUUUUGAGGGGAAUAUUUGAUUAGCCUUAUUGUUGUUUUGGGCUACGAGGAAAUGUUCAAACUCACCAAAUAGGACGAGAAUUUUCUCAGAGAUCUGCAAAUAUCUAUUUAAUCAUCGUUGUAGGCAACCACUGUAUACACCAUUUCGGUACUGGAAAAUCACAAAAAUGGCCAUGAACCUAUUGCAAAUGUACUGUUUCUGUUCUAAUUCAUUUUUUUUUUUCUAGUUGGGUCUUAAAUUUUUUGUAUUUGUAUCAAUUUAGUCAAUUUAGCUAAUUUUGAGUGGAAAUUAUUAACAUGGGCGUCGGUUGUGACAUGACUAGUGCUGAUGUGGAUAAUUUUUAAAUAAUAUUUUAAUAUUUUUUCGAUUUAUUUAUUUAUUUUCUUUUUAUUUUCUUCCCUUCUUCCUCCCGUUGGUUGUUGAGGUCCACUCGUGCCAAGACGACUAGCAUAAUAUCAAAGAUUUCCGGCCAAAUUUGGCAAGGUUGAUUCAAUUAGCAAUAUUUGAAAAAUGUUUAGGAUAAAAUUGACAUGAUUAAAAUGUUUAUGACUGAAUUAAUUGAAUUAACUCAAUUGCGAUAAAUUUUAAGAUUUUUUUUUGGUUACUCUUCCUAUUAACAAUAAUUGCCUCUGAAAUUGAUUGUCAAUUAAUCGGCAUGUCACCAAGAACUAUUUCACUUUUUUCAUGUAUUUUCACAAGUAAUUGCCUUUCUUGAAUGUCUGCUCCUCCUUAAUGUAUGGUCGGUUCCACCCCCCACCACCCCCCCCAACUUAAUGAGGUUUCUUGCAUUUGCUUUUGUUGUCUUUCCUUUGUGGUGAUUAUACUAAUUUUAGCUUUCUUUAAUUAAUUUGAUUGUUAGUUAUGUGUUAAUAUUGUAAUUAGCAAUUCUUAUUCUUUUUUGCCGUCAUCAUAUAUUUCACUCAUCACUGAACUCUGGAGGUUUCGCACUCCAUUAAGCCAAAAUAAGUUAUACCCACUAAUCUAUUCCUUUAAUUUCUGUUAAUAUUCAUUCGAUUUUUUACUUUUUUACAAAGUACUAUUUGUUUUUCAUUCUAUUCAUUUCACUGUUAGCAAUGCUGUGUUUGGGAGAUUGGGGAAAAUGGCAGUGAUGAAAAUUUAAGUGGAAAAAGCUUAAAUAUUUUAAGUUUUCCGCGAGAUGGGAAAAAGGAAGGAAAUCUUAAAAUUAUACUUUUUUUUUUUCUAAUUUCGUUCACCUAAGGGCUCCCGAACAGAGCCUUAGCGUGCGAUAUCUGUAGAACGGAGAAGCUUUCAUUUAAGAAGAGAGAGAGAGAGAGAGAAUCCAAAAUUUGGACGGAGGGUUCGCCAAAUCAAAUUUCAUGUUGCGAGUUUUUUUAAUAAAAUUCUACGCCCACGAUGAAGUUAUUAUCAAAUAAAUUCCCUGAUUCUUCUUUCUUGAUCUUGUGAUCCUCUCAUAUAGGUUUGGAUAAGAACUCUUUGUUCUUAUUCAAUCAACUAGAAUAAUGUAAAGAGAUUAUGAAAGAAGAAGAAAAGAUAAACGGGAAGAGAGAUUAUGAUAAUGUCGAAGGCUAUAUGUCAGCCUCCUAUAAGUCCACUUCAACACAUGGCUUUUACAUAUAUUAUAUUAAAUUCUCACGCUUGAACUUGCAAAGAUGCUUCCACAAAUAUAAAGUCCAAAAGCAAAUGGCACACAUAACAUAUAUUCAAAGCACACGAUGAACCCUAGAAGUCCUUACGGGCAAAUUGACAGACAUGUCGCUAUGGUAAUAAAGGAUCAGAUGCAGGAAUCCAUUCCCAGACAGGAAAGACAGCUUGAGAGUUCUUCUUUAUGCACUUCUCGUUUGGUCUCUUCAUCCUCUUCUUUUGCUUCAUCCUCUUCUUUAUCUGUCGAGAUCGGGUAGACAUUGGCGAGUUUCUCAACCACCUUGCUCAUUGCCAGCCUGUUCGCACCGUAUUGGUCCAAGCACUCCACUGCAAUCUUAGCUAUGGUUUGUAUUUUAUCCAUUUCACCUUCACUAGCACUCUCAGAGCUUAUGACAUCAGAGAGUGUGUCAUCCUUCACGGAAGAGAUGAAAAGACGGAUGGUAUUGAUUGACUUUUCAGACUUCAUAACAUGAAGUUUCUUUCCCAUGAGCAACUCCAUAAGGACAACUCCAAAGCUAUAUACAUCGCUUUGAAUUGUUAGCAUGCCAGUGACUAAAUAUUCCGGAUCGAUGUAGUGCAGGGAGUCUUUUUUCUGAAUGGCUACGAUAUGUCUAUGCUCUGGUGAUAUAAGUACCGAAGUUCCAAAAUCGGAUAUCUUCACUGAGUUGUUUCGACCCAUAAGCAUGUUUGCUAACUUGAUAUUGCCAUGAAAGAUUGGGGGUUGUGUGCUGGAGUGCAUAUGAUUGAGUGCAAGAGCAGCUUCAAUAGCUAUUUUGAAGCGUUGUUCCCAUGUCAACUUGUUCUGUUGGAUGAGUUUGAAGACGGUGGUGCUAUUUGGAAUGUAUUCAUAAACCAGCAAUGGUAUUUUAGUCUCCAAACAUAUGCCUUUGAGCUUCACCACAUUUUUGCAGCUUAUGUUCAUCAAAAUUUCAAGCUCACGCUGGAAAUCCUUGUUUAAUAGAGACUUGUCCAUAUCUUUAGGCUUCUUGACCACGACCACGGUGUCCUUUGCUAUUGUCCCUCUAUAAACAGAACUAGAAUCGUCGUCGUUGAGCUUAUUACUGUCAUUAUAGUUGUUGGUUGCUUCUACCAACUCCACCUCCGUGAAGAUUUGAACUUUGCGAUGUUUCAAGGUUUCUCCUCCAUUUUGUGUGAAGUUGAACUUUCUGAGUCUCAACUUCAUUGUGACCGAGACAGAACCAGUAACAGUUAUGCCGAAGACGGACACAGCAAUUGCUGCCAAAGAGUAUAUGUUGCCAGAUUAGUAAUUCAAGCAUGUAAUCCUCAUACAAUCCACAUAAUUCAUUUAAAGAAAUAAAUUUCGAACACACAAACAUUUACUUUUUUUUCCUGCGCAAAAUCCAUCAAUCACUAUCGAUUUGGAAGUUAGUCAAUAUUUUAAAAUAUAAUCACCCAAUUAAAUGUUAACGGAAAUGGUUUAUGUAACAAAUGGGUUGCACGUAUGGUCCAACAAUCCUUACAAAAGUUCUUAUUAAAAAAUGACAUGUGUCAUCAUAAACUGAACAAGUAAUCAAAAUGAACCAAAGUCUUCUAUUACUCCUCCGAAUAUCUGUCUUGAUUAUAAUGGAGACGCUUAGUAAUAAAACAAAAGAGAAUGAGAAAGGAUUCACCUCACAUUGUUUUGGCUCUUUCCAUUUACACAUGGUACGAAGACUCAGUGGAAUUUUAUAACCGAUUAUGCACGUUAUCACUAUCAUGAUUAAAUGUUUUUCCAUCCAUUUUAUUGGAGGAAACUCUAACUGAUGGGGCUACGGACAUAUACAUCACCCAUAUUCGCAUAUAUAUGUAUGCUUCAUAACCCACCAAUGGAAAGCAUGAUUGAAAACAGAGUUCUCAUGCCCCAUGGCCACCCUAUCCCGUGCCCACAAACAUUCACGUUCAGAUCCAUUCCUUUUUUGUUGCUACCAUUAUCCAAACUUUCCACAUUUAAAUAAAUAUAUUCUAGUGUGUGUAUAUAUAAUUUCAUUAGCUUUAUUUAAAAUGAGAAAAUAUUUUUUAUAACCUGAAAAAGACUAAUACAUCCACUAUAAAGUCUAAAUUAAAAUAUGAAUUAUUAUUUUGUGCCGUCACGGCGUAAUAAGAUAAUGUUGAGAUGGCACGGUAUAAUAAUCCAACCGCAUCGCCUUCUUCAACAAUCACCUUGAUAUGCUAUUGCUUAAAAUUGUGCUCCUUUUUACUUUUCCUUUUACUAGUUCAAAUUCGCUCACUUUCGCUAGAGAUUUUAGGGGUUUUUUCCCUCUUGAAAUCUGCUGGUCUAGUUGUUCUUUUUGGCUCAAGAUUUGCAGGUUUGGUCGGAGGAGGGAUUUUCACUUGGAUCUUGCAGUGUAUCUUCCCACGAACGUAGUUUCAAAGUGCAAGCUUCAGAUAAACGGGAAAAAAAGGCUAGAAGGGAGGUAAAAGAAAAACAAAAGAAAGUUGUAAACGGGUUUAGCCUGGGACUGAAUAGGAACGCGUGGUAGCAUGGGGCUCACUGCUUGUGCUUUCCAGGAAUUUACAUAGGCUAAUAAUCCUUAAAACAAAUAUGUCAAACCUACUGCAAAAUCAACUAUAAGUUAAUAGAAUAUAAACCAUCCAAUGAAUGAAGGGAUAUAUUUGGAAUUACCUGCACCAGCUAUGACGCCAGGAGCAAUUGGGCAACGGUCUUUAUUGUUCUUCUUUCCUUUGUACGUCUUUCCAAAUGAGCAAAUGGCUACAUUAUGCAAAAGACAAAUUGAACCGUAUCUCGAUUAAUGGCAAAAACAAAUUGAAUAGGUUGGUGUAGGGAUUAUUAGUUAGGUAAUGCUAUCCCAUUCAGGUCUUGGUUGUAUUAUUGCGACAUGUAUCCACUCUCUCUUAAGAUAUCUCUUCUUUCUCUACUCUCUAUCUCUCUCCUGGUCGAAGAUAGUACCGGGGACUUGUCACUGCAAGAUGAGGUACAAGCCAGACUCAUAAAGGAAGGAAGAGAGAGACAGAGUCGUCAUCUUUGUUGCUUGCAACGGUGGUACUGGGGACUUGUCAAUGCCGAGAUGAGGUACAAGCCAGACUCAUGAAGGGAGAGAGAGAGACAGUCGUUAUCUUUGUUGCUUACAGUGGUGGUACUGGGGACUUGUCACUGCCAAGAUGAGGUACCAGCCAGUCUCAUGAAGGAAGGAAGGAAGAGAAAGAGAGAGAGAGAGAGAGAGAGAGAGAGAGAGAGAGAGAGAGAGAGGCGGCUGUGGUGGUCCAACGGCUGGCUCGCCUAAAGUGGUGAGCGGAUGACGGUGGCAGCGGCAAUGGCGUGAGUCGCAAGACGGAGAGUGGAGGAAGAGGUUGCAGCGCAAAUCGAACGGCGGCUAAUUAAAUGGGGUAAAACUAUAUGGAAUUAGUAGGUAGAUACCAUACUUCUCCAUCAGGCUCUUGCACGUUGAUUAAUUAAUUACCCACACAAUUCAUUCGAGUGCGAUAAUGAAUGAGGAGUCGGGUACGUUGAAUUACCUUUACACCCUCCGAAGGGACUAUAAGGAUUCCCAUGGUACCCGGGCUUGCAAACGCAACGAUAACCCGAUCCAUUCCCGAAGCCUUUACAAUUCGCGUUUUUACCACAGGCAUAGCUCGACCUGUUCCGCUUGGCCAUAUCGCAUAUCUCGUCGGAUUCGACCAUCCAGUCCAGAACAAGGCUCGAGUUGUUACCCACAUCCUGGAACGUCGGGAGAGUCAAGUUUGAGAUAUUGAAUGGCCUGUUGUCCACCAUGAAGGCCCGUGCACAGUGGCCGCGUUCCGAGUUCGACACGUUUUGGCCGAUGGAGGAGAGGGAAAUGUUGAGCGUCGUGAGCCCCGCUGGUAUGGAUGCUUGACAGCAAACUUGACCGGAGCAAGUGGUCUCCUUGGCGAGGUCGACAUUGCUGCUGCAGUAGGAGGCGCAACCUUUCCUGACCGUCCCUUCUUUAUUGGCCAUGUCCGCAAGGGCGUUGCAGCCGACGACGAUGAGCUUGUUCUGGGUUUCUGAGAAUCUGUACCGAGGAUUUGGAGGUAGAUUGAUGGACACGUUUCUGUUUGCUAGGCUGCGAUUCUGAUCGUAGCACUCGUAUGCUUCGGGGAGGCUGACGACCAUGGUCGAGUCCCCAACCGAGAUUUUGAGUAUCGUAAGAUCCCCCAACAUUAGUCGAAAACCGCUCCCUUCGGUGUUGGUGCAAUCGAGCAAAAAAUCUGUGGACCUCGGACAAUUGGGUUCCAGCCCGAAUGGAAAAGGUACGGUCACGUCCCCACACUGGUGUGUGCACUUUUUGGGCAACGCGGCGCGGCCUUGUUGAAACCACCAGGCCACAGCCACCGUUAGAAGCCAAUGCCCUAUCUUCAUUUCGAAAAAAACUCUCUAAAACUCUCUCUCACGUAAUUUUUGUCCGUUUUGGGACCUUUGUGCUUCUGUCCGCGUUUAUAGAGUGGAAGCCGUUCUCACCGACCCAUUAUAUACACAUCGACGAAUUGGCGAAAUUUAAGUACAACAAUGGAGGGCAGCAGGGGCAAAUUGUGUCAAUAGAACAAAUUGGAGGGACCCGACUGCAUAUAUCAACAAAUGCAAGACAGAAUUAGAAAGAAAAAACAAUAUACAAAGGUUUUACACAUAAAAGGUAGUGGACCCUUAGUCCUUGUCCUAGUGAAAGGGAUGGUCACAGCAUAUGAAGAUGAAUACAUGAUUGUGAUGUUGAGGCUACUUAGCAAACUUUGCUCUAUCUUGUAUCAAAGAAGAAACCAGCAUACAUAGUAAUGAGAAAUUCUAAAUGCGUAAAGAACUUCUAGUAUAACAUUUUUACUAAGUGAUAUGACAAAUUUAAAUUGAGCAUUCAAAUAAGUGAAAUCUAUUCUUUGAAUGCCUGCCUUGUUAGAAGCCUAAAAGAAAUUGUCACAUUAUUUAUUAUAGAAAUUUUAGGGUGGCCGUUACAUUUUAAAAGAACAUUCACAUAUCGGCCACAAGUUCCACUAUAGGAGAAUUGCCAACCGGCUUGAAAGGUUGAUGAAACUCAAGGUGACACCAAAAAUAAGAUGGCCCUAGAAUUACGAUGAGAUUUAAACAUUUUUAUUAGAGUUAUGUUUAAGAUGGCCUUACAAUUCUAAAUACAAAGGGAAAAAAGCUGAGAAAAUUUUCAUAUAGAUAUUUUUUUGGCCAUCAUGGGUAUAAGAUCGCAAAUAAAUAAAAUCUAUACAAGACCAAAAAAUCAACUAGAGCUUUUGAUCAUAAUCAUUUUACAGUUUCUCAGGGUGCAAGAUUUUAGGUUCAAUUGGAAGAUUAAUACCAAAGAAAAUAAUGAAGUUUAUCUAUGACCCGGAAUUGGAAUAGAAUUUUAAUAUGAUUUCUUUAUAAAUAUAGCAUUACUCUUAUAGAAAUAGUGAAGACGAAGUAAAACGAACAUUAGGAAUUAUCACCACUGGGGAAAAGGCUUACUUCCUAGUAAUUUUAGAACUCUUGAGCCUUACUAGUCACAUGUUUGAAUUUGCCCAGGUUCUUCUUGACCUCGAGAAAUCUUAAUUCGUUUCUUGUUUAAGUUCGACUGUACCAUGACAUAGGAUUGUCCUAAUUGUACUCUCAUUAUAUCUUGGUGAGCUGAUGGUGAUAGGCCUAUCCAAAUUAGGAGUAGCUCAAAUGGAAUAUAACGUCACGCGUGUGGAACUCUUAUGGUAAUUCUCUGAGGUAGUCACCAGUAGUGGUCACCCUUUCCUCCCAUUAUACCUAUCAAAUAAUAUUAUCAUAGUAAUGCUAUUGUGACAUACAAUGGUAAAUUUAUUUGCAUAAUUAUCCUUGCAAGAUGAGAAAUGCUAUACCGGAAAAAAAUGUGGAAUAAUUAUAAGAUAUACAACUAGUGUAAACAAAUAAAUUUAUUUGUGGUUGAUUAAUUAUAGGAAAUAAAUUAUUUUACAUGAGCGGCCGCAUACACCAUUGACUUGAAAGAGUGUGUAGCUAUAAUCCUUAAAUUAAGGAUGAAAAAGGCUGCCUAUGUAAAAUUUCUUUUAUAAUGGUGUGUGUAUGAUCUAUUUUUCCAAAAAAUAUAUAGAGAGGUAUGCUUGCUAGAUGAUGUAGUAUGUAAUUGCUAGUUAAGUAAAUGAAGGCGCACUUCGUUGGUCUCAUGCUUUCAGUAAUUAAUCGACCACAAGAAUGUAUGAUGCCACAUUAUUUUGUGAUUUAAUUUGUGAUAAAUAAAUUGUUGACACAUUUUUUAAGGGCUUAGAUUUUUUUUUGGGAAAAACAGUAAGUUUACCAUGGUCUCUGAACACACUGACUUGAAUUCUGACACUCCCUCUCAAAUUUCUCUUGCCCGUUAUUCCUAUUUUUCUCACAUUUUGUUGGUCUUUCUACUCAUUAAUUAUCUAGUAGGAAAAUAAUCACGUGUCAACUACAUAUAAAAUUGCUUGUAUAGAGAUUUUGUAGUUGUGAUUUUCUUUUUGGAUUUUUAUUGUGAGUGCACAGUUGGAAAGAGGAGUGCUAGACGUUGCCCUAAUUAAACAUAUGAAAUCUUGUUAGUGAGUUCUUAAGCGUAAUGGUGAAGUAUACUUUAUGGAAAAAUAUUUAAUUUAUAAAUAUUAAUUACACCUAUUACCAUAAAAUUAAGUGUCUAAAAUUAUCAAUUUAGAUGUCUUUUUCUAUUUGAUUACUUAGUGUCAUUAGAGCACCCCUUCUUAAUGUGUGAAAGUUUAUAGAAUUCAGCAAUCUAAAUCUCUAAACUAUUAGUAAAUACAAUGUGGUGUAAUUAAGAUCACUUAUAGGAGAAGACUCUUCUUAGGCCAUGAACAGAACAACGAUUUUAUUUCAGUUUUGAUUGUAUUUGUCUUAAAUUAAAUGGUAAUUGACUUGCUCUCACGACCCUGAAACUUUGAAUACGAUCCAAAAAAAAAAAAAACCUUUUUAAUAUAAAGAAUCCAGAUUAUUUUGCCUUAAACAAAUGUCAGGAUGUACGCAAUUCGCCUAUUCAUAUGCAUCUAGUAAAUUUCUAUCUACAUGAAGGUGGGUAAAGUUAUUUUGAAUGUGAGAAGAAAACGACAUUCAAUUAAUAAUUCGAGGUUUUAAAACGACGUGAGAACAAAUUAUUUCGUUCGUCGAGUCCUCUUUCGGGCGGUCAUUUUUUAUAUUAUCCAUUGCGCAGCAACGUUGACAAGGGGGAAAGGUGUUCCACGAAAAGGGGGAACAUAGAAAACCACAUUGUCCUCGACUUUUGAAGAGACCUAUUCCUUUCCAGUUGGCCUGACCCCGCACCGCACCCACAAGCAUUAACAACAUGCUCCGUAUUUUAUGAUGAGCCCAGUGGAUCUCCAACGUCGAUUUAUGUGGGCUCCACAUGAGAUGGACGCCAUCUAACUGCUGGAAGUUCAAUUGGAUUUUGUGCAUCUGGUCCGGGCAAGUGUAGCCUGGAUGCGAAUAAAAACCUCCGGGCCCAACGCUCGGCGACUGACCGCAUGAUGUCUCGUCCGGGAAGACUUGGUGACCCUGCACGAAGACUUACGCGUCUUCUCGAAGUCUUUUGCAGGACAAGACAAAAAGCGAUAGAAAAACUAAAGAAAAGGGAGAUCGCGGGAUUCCCAAGAAAAAAAUUAUGAUUACUUAAACAAAGAAUAAUUUUUUGUUCUUCAGAAAAUAUUGUUUUCGAGUUAAUAUUAUGAAAAAUCUUAAACCAAUAUAUUUAUAAUAAAUUUACAAAAAAAAAUUAACUUUUUGUUUAUGAAAUACCUCAAAAUGAUACAUAUGUGACAAAUUUACUAUAAUAUAAUUUUUUAAUCACUAAAAACCUCAAAUUGUGACAUUUAUGACAAAUUUACCCUUAAUCUAUUUUCAUUAAAUUGGAUUAAUAUCAUAAAAACCACAAGCCGGUAUACUGAUGACAAAUAGAAGGUAAAACCCUAAAUUGAUACACCCGUUGAUUGUUACGUCAUUCAACUCAACAAUUUGACGGUAAAAUUUAACGGAAACUAAUGGAAUGUAAAUUCGUCACAUGUGUACCUAUUUGGGCCAAAUUUGUCGUAUAUGUAUCAAUUUAGGAUUUUUCCAUAAUAGUAAUCUUUUUCUAAUAAAAGUUACCUUUCACAUCUCAAAUAACAAAGAUAAUGAUGUACUAGUGUUUGAAAAAAAGUAGUCCCCUUAUAUGUAUAUGAACAAAUACCGUAUACUCACUGCGAAGCAUAAUCGUAUUUUUGGUCAUAGAAUAUGUAUUAAAAUCAUAAAAAAAAACCUUGCAAUAAUCUCAAGUAUUUUGUAAUGAUAUACGGUAGUAUAUGGUUAAAUCAGAUAAGCAUUCAAAAGUUCAUUUGAAUACUAGUUCCAUAAAUGUAGUUAAAUACAUCAUUAAUUAAUAAAAAGACUAAUAGUGUAGUCAUAGGACAAUGUAAAGCAUAACUUUAUUAUUAUUAGUAUAUUAUAGGAUGCAAAAUAAGAUCUCUCUUAACCUUUAACCACCUAAUUUAUGGGUAGUGUUGAAUGUUAUUCUAAUCCAUUAGUGGGGUAAUCGGGCAAAAUUGCUUUGAACGUGUUUUCUUAUCAACAAAUUUCUUUUCAUGUGCUUAGGACCACUGGAUCAGAUACACCAUGACUGUUGAUCAUGUAGACCACACAAGUAAGUCUCACAUGAUUAAUGGCUACAAUUGCAUUGAGUUGAUGUAUGAAUCCAGGUAAGUGAUUCUUUAUUUACUGCAAUUUACUUUCAAUGGUCAUAGUUCGUUUUGGUUGGAAAAUUGUCUCUAUUUAAAGGUUCUGAGACAAUAAACUUUGGAGUCAUGUCCCUUUAUAUGCAUUAUUUCAAUAUUUAGCGACCAAAUAUGGUUAAGAGUGACUGUAAGAUGGAAUACUCUCCCUUUUCCUAAAAAUAUUUUUCUUGAUAUUAUGAAUCGGUUGCAUACUAAUAUGAUGCAAAGUGAUCACAGUGUCCGUGUGAUGCAAAUUCUAGUCAACCUUGUGUAUGAGUUUUGAAAACCUCAUGCCACCUUGUUAUGGAAAAUAUUGGAUUUAUACGUGUCAGUUACACAUAUAAUGAUAAAAGUAUUAUUAAAAAUAAUUAAUAUUUUUUUUGGUUACUUAAUAAGUGUCAUAAGGUGACACCUUCUUAAUAUUUAUUGUUUGGUUACUUAAUAAUUAAAAUUUAUUUUUUUUAGUUACAUAUAAUGACGUUGCAAUCUAGUCUCUAACUAUCAGUGCUACUGUGUGUAGCCAUUAAGAUCAUUCAUAGGAGAAGACCCUUCUUUUAAUUUUGAUUGAAAUCAUCUUAUAUUAAAAAAGGGUAAUUAACUUGCUAUCACAAGCUGAAAAUCUUGACAUGUAGUCCAAAACAAAUUAUUAGCUUCUCUUUUUGACAAUACAAAGUAUUUAAACUUUUUGACGUAAAUAAAUGUCGGUAUUGCAAGCAACUCGCCUGUUUGCAUGGAUUUAAUAAAGUUCUAAAUGUGAGUUGUUGUGAUGGAAUCUACCACAUUUAAAUUUGACAUUUAAUCACUUAGUCAAUAAUUCGAGGUUUUAAAGCAAAAUGAUUUGACUAAGGUGAAAGUUAUUACUAAAUUAUUUUGAUCAGAGUCUAGAACAGCCAUUUUUUUUUAUAUCAUAUGGAAAGUUCAUUUCACCCUAAAGUAAAAUGCGUUACCCAACAAAAAUUAAACAUAGGGAAGUACCUUGUAUUAACUCGUGAUGAGACCUUUUCACUUUUAUGCUAGCUUCAGACUCGGUUGGCCCGACCUUAUCCCAAGAAAAAGAUUAAGUAACAUGUCAGCUUCACGUGAAACUGACAUCAUCUAAUAAUUGAGAUUCACUAAGAUCUUGUGCAUUCCGUUCAUGCAAGUGUGGCUUGGAUCCGCACUAAAACCACUGGGCGUGAUGCCUGGUGACUACCUUGGACACUUGGUGAUGGUGACACGAGACUGAGACUGGCAACGCUCUAUUGAUGCAUCAAGGCUUCAAAUCGUCUCAAAGUCUUUCGAAGAACAUGACAGCAUGCCGGAGAAAAAAGAUGUCGUGGGGUUCACCCCCAUCCAUCCGGAGGAUGACCUUUCUCAGUGACGAAAGCGACAUUACGCGAAAUGAGGAUGUCAGGUGGGGGAGACAAUUGAAAGAUGCUUUCGCUCGGUUUGGUCGGACAACGACCAUUCUUUAUAGCCAUGGAGGACCGGAGGAGCGCCGGGUUCCACGAAGUGUGUUUUCUCAGUCCUCUAAAACCUAAAACCCACUGCAUUUUGUUGAUGAUCUCUCCGUCUCAGACCAAGAUGAUGAGGUAUAACAACAGUGGAACCCAGAAAUAGAUAAGUGAUGUUGUUCGUGAUGCCGUGGAUGCCUCUUCCUAUUUUAGUACCUUCGUUUUAAUGAGCUCUUAUCAUAUAAGAUCGUUGUUAAUUUAAUUAUAAUACUUCAAUACAUUUUAAGUCUUUCGAAUCUUGAAAACAGAAAAUGUCGAAUUCAUACACUAUAGAUAUAUGUCUAUAAGAGAGAAAAAAAAUUAAGAAUUAUCUUUACAGAGAAUUACUAUUGAUUUUACUCCGAGAACCAUUAUUUUCUAAGAUUAGUCACUUUUUACAUUUUGGAUUUCGGAGAUAAUGACAUUCUGGUAUUUAGAAAAAGUAGUCCUCGAAUAUAUAUGUUAAAAAAAUAUCGUAUUCUCCGUGGAUUCUAGACCCAUAACCAUAUUUAUGGUCACUUGAAGAUGUAUUAAAAUCAUCAAAAACAAAAAAUCUUGUAGUAAUCUUGAGAGUUUUCUCAUAAUAUAUGGCAAUAUUUGGUAAUAUGAGAUUACCAUCCAAAAGUACAUUCGUAGUUCCAAACCAAUGUAAAAAGCAAUUGACUUCGAAUUGUGCGCUGAGCAUGCUGAUGAAGACUAAAUAAUGAAGGGCAAAUACGAAAAGCAGGCAGUUUGCUGAAAAAUUGUCCAAAGUUCUAAACCUAUUAUUAUGUGGUGGCCAAUUUAAUUUUAAACCUUUUACUUGUGUCAAUUUAGUCCAAAAACUUUUGAUAAUUUAUCAAUUUGGUCUUAAACAUUUUAACAAUUUACUUAUUUAGUCAUUCCAGCCAAUUUUGAUCGGAAAUUAAUAAUGUGGACAUUUUUUGCUAUUUUUCUUAGUUUUUUGAAUUUUCUUUUCUUUUUUUCUUUGUUGAUCUCAGGUGAGGGCGUCCUUCACUAGCCCAAGCGUGGGCAUCCCUCAUCCGACCUUGCUUGAGUCUAGCAAAGGGAAAAAAAGUUCAUAAAAUUUUAAAAAAAAUUAUAAAAAUUGUUUACGUUAGCGCCGGUUAGCGUCAAUCAUGCUAAGUAGCAUAACUGGCGCUGAUUUGAUUGCCACAUCAUGUGGCAUUAAGAUCACUUGUUGCCAUGGCACCAAUAACUUGAUAUCCACAUCUUUGACGUAGACAUCGUCAUUAGCUGAUAUUUGAGGUCCGUUGAUAUUGUUCAUGGAAAACCCGUAUUGGGACGUGUUGUAUUCAUUUAUCCACUAGAUCACACUAUGGACAUUACUUAAUCCUUUGUUAUGAACAUCUACACGUACCAUAACAAAUAUUAUACUAAGGUACAUUUUCACUCCAAAUAUGGUGGGACCUGGGAGUAUUACACCUUUACAUGUGGCUGCUUGUACAUCGGGCUCAGUUGAGAUAGUUAAUGCCCAGACAAAUGAUCCACAACGGUAUUAAAAUUGGACUCGAUCAUAUUUUUGUGGCAUGCAAAAACGUAUUAUAACGUAACCAUGUAGGGCAACGCCAAUCUAUAAAGUACCUUUCCCUUUUUGAGAUAGCAUGCUGUAUCUUAUUUGGGAAAAUUAUCCAAAAAGUCCUAAACUUAUUGCAUUUUUACUGAUUCAAUUAUAAACCUUUCAACUUUGCCAAUUGAGUCCUACACCUUUUUACAUUUUGCCAAUUGAGUCAAUCCAGCUAAUUUGGUAGGAAUUUACUGACAUAAAUGUUGGUGCUGACAUGGACAAUUUUUUUUUUAAAUUUUAAAUAUUUUUUUGAAAUUUUAAAUUAUUAUUAUUAUUUUUAUGUUUUUAAUUUCUUUCCCUUUUUUUUUUCCUUUGGUUGGUUGCCUAGCCUCUAGUGACUGACCAUAGGCCACGAACAACGAGCAUUGGCCUUGCCGGCCUCAGGUAAGUUCACCCUCGUUGGGAUCUAACUAGGGGCGAGGCUCACCCUCACCAAGUCCGGUGAGGUGGCCUUUGCCGGGAUCUGGCGAGGGGCAGGUGAGGGAUGACCUAGCUAGCUGUGAGUGAGGCUCGCCCUUGCCAGAUCAGGCAACGGCAAGCUUGCCCAAGGCCGACAAGGUCGCCUCUUGCCAGAUCUUAGCAAGGGCAACCUUGCUUGAGGCCCAUGAGGUCGACCCUUGCUCGCCUCGCCUGGGGACAGCGAGGUCGCCCCUCGCUAGAUAGCGGUGAGGGCGACUUGCUCGAGGCCGGGGAGGCCGAUCCUCGCCAGUUGUGGCCUCUGGCCGGUCGCCUAGUCUUCGGCAACUGGCCAAAGGAAGAAAAGAAAAGAAAAAAAAGGAAAAGAAAAAAGAAAAGAAAAUACAAAAAAUAAUUAAAAAAUCAAAAAAUAUUUAAAAUAAUAAAUCUCGUCCACGUCAGCACCGGCAGUGCCACGUAGGAUAAAUUUUGGCCAAAAUUGGCCGGAUGGACUCAAUUGGCAAAAUAUUGAAAGGUUUAUAACUCAAUUGGUAAAGUUGAAAGGUUUAACUCAAUUGGCAAAAGUGCAAUAGGUUUAGGACUUUUUGAACAAUUUCCCCUAUCUUAUUCAUAUGAGAUGCUGAAUACUUCAGUAUUAGCUGCUUAUUGGAGCUGUUUUAUUAUUUGCAGUGUGGUUUAUGAAGUAGACAAAUGUUAUGUACAGGCGCACGCCAUGAGCGUGCGAUCAUGUGAUUGCUAGAUCUUUAUGUUGGUCCUAACACUUAUCAUCAUCAUCAUCAUCAUUAUUAUUAAUCUCUUUCUAGAUUGGAUUAAACGGCUGGAACUCCCUUCUGGAUUCCAGUGGACAGUCGCCGUAUUCCUAUAUUGUGAUGAGGAAUAAUCACUCCUACAAUGAGCCUGUGUCGUGUAAACUUGCUGACAGGAGGAACAGUCAAAUUUCUGUGAUAAUUGGAAGUGAAAAUGAAGGAAUCGCAGCCGUCAGCUGCACAAGAGUCUGGCCAGCGUGCCCACUCUCAGUUGAGUGCGGGCUCGUGCUCGAGAUGUGCGGUCGCGGCAACAAAAUAUGGUAGGAGAUUCCCGGCCUCGCAUGGGCUGCUUCAUCGGCCCUAUAUCCAUUCGAUGCUUGUUGUCGCCGCUGUCUAUGUCUGUGUUUGCCUCUUCUAGAGAAACUUACAGAAGGUUGGUUGUAAUGCUCCCUUCAAUUGGGAACAUUUGGAUUAUGGUGCUAUUUAGGGAGUACAUCUACCAACAAAUAAGAGGAAGCAACAGGAAGCCAAUGUCAAUACGAAGGCAGACUAGAGUGCAUUUUUAUUUGGAGAGGAAGUGCUUCGAGAUGACUAUGCAAGUGCAAGGUUUUAAAUACCCAUCAAGAAAUUAAGCUUUGGCAUAUCUGAAUUUGCAUACCCCUCUUUUUAAUAAGCUGCAAUGUGAGAAGUACCGAUUAUUCUCUGACCCAGUGGUUCUGGAGAAUACUUGUGUUGGGUAAAUUUGAUUGCUAAUGAAUAUAGAGAAGUAGUAAUAGAUUCUUGAUGUUUUGAUGCGUGAUGAUGAUCAUUGUCCUUAAGGUAUUAUUUAUCCCCAUUAUUGUUACUAUCGAGUUUAGAACAAAUAUACCUCAAGAAUAUAUACCAAAGCUGUAGAGUGAGUUAAGCAAUUACUCAAUUUCUUUCUUGGAAUUUCACUUUGAAUAUGUUGUUAAAGUUGUGUGUAUGAAAAGAGAAGAAAAAAGAGUUCUGAAAAAAUAGUAUUUAUGAAUGUUUGUAGUUGUUACAAAUAAUAUGUGAAUUGGUCUCUAUUCACAUACAACCAAACAACAUAAUUGUUGGAAAUAAGUAUCUUUUUCUCAACUAUCAUCACUCUUCUUUCAUAAUUAUGGAUAACCUCCUUUUAGGACCAAAAAGUCACCUCUUGUCAUAACUAAGAGUGAUGUAUUCUUUUGAUCAAAAGUCACGUCUUCUCUUAAUCAAGAGUCACCUUUUUUAUUAUAACAAACUAUUUCAACAACUUGGACAUAGGAAGUAAUUAAAAUCUUUGUAUAUUGCAGCAUGAGAGUAAUUCAGAAUGAGAUGAGAGGAAAGAUAUCGGUGAAUUACGACUAAAUAUAUGUGGCAAGCAGGAGAAGAUGCACUUUGCAAUGGGAAGAAACUAAUGCCGAAAUCGAGGGAGGAUGUCUGCAAAACGGGGAUGAGCUCGAAAAUUCUUUAUCAUAGAGGAAGUACUAAUGUGGUAAGUCAUAUGUUUGUUGUUACUAUUAUGUUCCUUUUGGGUUUUUGGUUUCUGAUUUUUGACUCAUUGGAGCUAAACGGGCGAUACCAACUUUGGACCAGUAACUGAGUUUGUUUUAAUUGUAAAGUUGAUCGCGACUCCUUAGGGCUGUUGAGAUUAUUGUAUUAUUUUAUUAGUUGCAAAUAUUUGUUCGGGUAUUGUUGUGAUUUACCCCUCGGUAUGGUGGGAAACAUAGAUUUAGGGGUAUUGUCUAAAAAACGAGCCUAACGGCUCAUAAUUUAAACAUAGACUUUCCUAAGCCUAUACCUCGCGCGAUGUUAGGCUUUCAAAUUAACGCUAUGAUUUUUUUUUUUUUUAAAAGAGUCGCCAUUAGCCUAUUAAGGUCGGCUAUAAACCAAGUGAAGUAUGAGAGCGCAUUUAGUAUCGGAGACUUGAUUAUACUAAUUAACUAAUUAGUGCUCUUUCGGUAUUUGAUCUUAUUCAUUUUAAAAAGAUUUUUUUUUGUCAAGUAGUUCGAAUUGAUUUUAAACCUAUCCACUAAUACGUGAGAAGACCAUGUAGAUGUGCAAUCAUUAACAUAAUAAUCAGCAAUCAAGAAAAUUAUUAAGUAAACUGCAUGGGAUAACAAAUACCUAACACUAAGAAAAAGAUAAAUGUUACUCCUAACUAGACUAAAUGGAAGCCAAAAUCAGUGUAAGCACACAAUAAGGACAAUUGUCUUUAAGGACAAUUGAAGCCCUAAGGUAGAGCUCUAAGGGUUCGUUCAAUUUUUUAGUGCAAUUUUAAGUCAAGAGGCUUCUGUUUUUUUUUUUUAAAGGAAAAUUACUUGAAAAGACUAUUUUAAAACUUUUUCAAGGGACCCGAUUGCAUAUAUCAACAAAUGCAAGAAAGAAUUGAAAAAAAAAAAAAAGUGUACAGAGGUUUUACACAUAAAGGGUAAUGCGCCCUUAAUCCUUGUCGUGGCGAAAGGGAUGGUCACAAUAUAUGAAAAUGAAUACAUGAUGGUGAUUUUGAGGCUGCUUAGCAAACUUUGCUCUUUCUUGUAUCCAAGAAAAAACAAGUACACAUAGCAAUGAGAAAUUCGGGAAAAUUACCAAGACUAUUCUAAAUUUAUUGUGUUUGUGUCAAUUCAGUUCUAAACAUUUCAAUAAUAUUAACUUAGUUCUAUAUCUUUUGAUAAUUUGUCAAUGUAGUCCUUCCAAUCAUAUCGAAAAACGUUGACAUGGUGGCCCAAUUAACAUCAACUGUGCUACGUGACAUUACCAGUGCUGAUGUGAACAAUUUUUUAAAUUUUUUUGAAAUUUUUCGUUUUUUAUUCUUAAUUUUUCUAUUUUUUCUUUCCUUUUCGUUGAUGGCUAGAGACUAGCCAUAGGCAAAGGUCGGAGAGGGUUUGGUGAGGGCUGCUUGCACUGGCCACCGAUGAGGGUCGCCUCCCCCGCGGUUAGCAAGGGCUUGCAUGACUUUGCCCAGUGAUUUGUGAGGGUCGUCGGCCUUCACUAGCCCUAGCUGGCUGCAAUAAAGAAAAAGAAAAUAAAAUAAAAAAUAACAAAAUUCAAUUUUUUUUGUUGAAAAAAUUGCAAAUAUUGUCCAUAUUAGCAUUGGCGGUGCCAUGUCAGACAAUUGGCAUCUAGUUAGCGAUUUUUGACUAUAAUUGGCCAUAUGGAUUAUACUGGCAAAUUAAUUUGCCUAAAUUUAAAAGAUUUAGGAUUGAAUAGACACAAGUGUGAUAGUUUUAGGAUAUUUUUGGUAAUUUUCCCUAAGAAAUUCUAAAUCCAUAAAGACCUAUUAAUUUUUUUUUACUAUGUGAUAUGACAAGUUUCAACUGAAGGCUGAGAUCUAUUCUUUGAAUGGCUAGCUUGUUAGGUACCAAAAAGAAAUUAUUAUAUUAUUUAUUAUAAAAAUUUUAGAGCGCUACGAGCUUAACAGUGGCUGUUAUGUCUUAAAAUGAUGGUCACAUAUCGGCCACAGAUUCCACUAUGGGAGAAUGGCCAGGCGACUUGUAAGGUUAACCAAACUCAAGGUGACACUAAUAUGGCCCUAGUAUCAUGAUGAGAUUUAAACGGUUAUUAUGUUUAAGAUGGCCUUACAAUUCUAAACUCGUACAAAAGGAAAAUCGCAAAGAAAAAUUUGUAUAGUUCAUGUUUGUGGCCAUAUCAGGGGUAUAAGAUCACAAGUAAAUCAAAUAUAUACAAGACCAAAAAAUUAAAUAGAGCGUUUGAUCAUAUUCAUUGAGAGUUUUCGUUGUUUUCAUUGUGGCCAUCUGUUUCAAAAGAAAUAAUUAUAAAUACAGAACUCAAUGGGAUUUUCCAUCAAGAAAUAUCCCAUUAAGCGAGAUUAUCAAUUUCUUGAGGAGACCGAACAAACGGGUCUCCCGAUUUCCUUGAAAAAUUAUGUGAUGGAGACAACAACGGUGCUUUCAUAUUCUCAAUCAAGAGACGCAAGUGUCAAAGGUUGAUUCAUCUAGCAUUCAACGUGUUGCUUCAUCGGGCUGUGACACAAGCAUGACAACCUCCAUUAUUUUCAUGAAAUGAUGGAGACCUCCCAUUGCACAUUUCAAUUCAUGAAUUUGGUUUCGACCAAUACAUAUCAUGAAUUUGGCAAUGAGACGGAUAAUUACCAAGUCGAUCAUAAAUUUAUUAUACGAAUGUCAAUUCAGUUAUUAAUUUUUCAAUUUUGCCGAUGACGCUUUAAACAUUUGUGCGCAAAAUUUUAAUGUAGUUCUUUCGACUAAUUGCUGACGUGGCAUCCAAUCAUCAUCGGCCAUUCAACAUGGCACUCUGAUAUAGACAACUUUACAUGAGAUGACAUUCUAAGUUUUAAGUUGUUUGAAAACAAUAAUGUAUGAUGCCACAUCAUUCUGUUAUCUAAUUUGUGAUAAAUAAAUUAUUGACAUGAUUUUCAAUGGAUUAAAAACAGUACGUUUAACAUGGUCUCAGUGCACAAUGACUUGAACUCCGACACUCCCUCUCAAAAUUUCUCUUGCCUGUUAUUCCUAUGAUUCUCAUAUUCUGUCCAUCUUUCUACUCAUUCAUUAUCUAGUAGGAUUAUAAUCACGGGUCAACUACAUAUAAAAUUACUUGUAUAGACAGAAUUUUGUAGUCGGUGGUAUUCUAAUUAGAUUUUUAUCGUGAGUACACAGUUGGGAAGAAGAUGCCUUAGACACUGCCCAUAUGAACACAUGAAAUCUUGUCAAUGAGUUCUUAAGAGUCGUGGUGAAGUAUUCUAUAUGGAAAAGUUUUGAUGGUGAAGUAUUCUAUAUAUGGAAAAGGUUUUGAUUUAUAAAUAUUAAAUACAACUAUUACAAAAAAAAAUUAGUGUUAAAAGUUGUUGGUAUAUUUGUCGGAUUGCUUAAUACGUGUUGCACGGACUACGCCUCUAAAUCAAACAUUCAAUCAUUCAAUCAAUAAUUCAAGGUUUUGAAGCAAAAUGAUCGACUAGGACAAAACUAAUCAACAAAUUUUCCGAUCAUGGAAUCCACUUUCGGCCAGUCAUUUUUUAUAUUAUCCUUGCCCCCCUCCGAUCGAGACCAAUCCAAAGCAACGUGUUUCACGACAAAAGUGAAACAUAGGGAACUACCUUUCAUUAGCCUGUGAGGACCCAGUUGGCCCAACCCUGCACCCGAACUUAGAUAAUAUGCUCCGUAUGUAGAUGAGCCUAGUAGAUAUCCAACGUUGAUUUAUGUGGGCUUGACAUAAGAUCGGCAUCAACGGCUGAAAUUCAUCGGGUUUUUGUGCUCCGGUUCAUGCAAGUGAGGCCAGGUUCCGCACUACAACCUCUGGGCCAGGCGGCUGCAUGAUAUCACGGGAAGACUUGGUGACAGUGCACCAAGACUUACAAGUCUUGAAGUCUUUCGAAGAACACGACAAAAUAUGAGACUAAAAGUAAAGAAAAGAGAGGCAGUGGAGAAAUUUUAUAUAUUUCUAUGUACAUUGAAGAAGAAUACGUAAGCUUAUUUAUAGAUUUUAUUGGAUGAUUAUGUGACAUCCUGAGUACAUCACAUGCUACACGCGUCCUUUCCAUUUAUACUCAUAAUCAUAAUUACGCAUGUGGAAAUACCACAAAAUACAUCACAACAUACCAUAUGAGAAAGUCGCACUAGUUUAAUAUGUAUGCUUCUUCUUCUUCAUACAAAUACUAGUACUUAUUAUCACAACAUAUAGUCUCGAGACUUGUAGGUUAUGGGCACAUUGGUACUACUACUCCUAUACUAAUCCACAAGCAAGCCACCACCCAACUUGGGGGCUAAUGGUCUCAGGCAUCAUCUCAUCCCUUUCUUCGUCAUAUCCCAAAGGGAACAUCCUACACACUGAAAAAUAAAUGAUGAAUUGAAGCUCGAUAAAUGAAAUCCCUACGUAUAAGGUAGGAGAUCAUCUUAGCACUUAACCUAGUACCAAUCAAAUAACAUGAGUUCAAGACAAUAAUUAUGUGUGGACAAGUUCUUCUUCUUUACUGACACGAUAUGCCAAUAAAACCAUUAACCAUAUUGCAAGUUCAUCCACUCAUAAGCAAGCAUAAAAUAUGACCUAACAUUUCAUGAUGUACUAGUACUACAUAUUGGUUUAGUACCAUCAUUUAUAAGAGUAUACUUAGGCAAGUCCAUACUUGUAAUGCAUUUCACCAUGCACAUAAGUGAAUUCAUACAUGUUGUGCAUUUCUCCACCACUAUGCAUAUCUUCCAUACUUGUCACAACUCUCACCACCAUUCAUAAGUGAGUUUGAAUUCAUACAUAUAUGAGUUCGUAUGGGUCAUGAAGCUCACUAACACUAACACAGGUGACUUCAUACUUGUCAUUAGUCAAGACCCAUCUCGACUCAUGGGACAUCCCUUUACACGGGGUAUACACCAACUCUUGGGGGGACGGAAUCAUAAUUACCUCUUUGCUAUGCCACACAGCUCAAUUAUCACGAGCAUCUUCUACAUCGGUGAAGAUAAAUAUGCCACUAUAUCAUCGCAUGAUGAUGGUCAACACAAGUUUACUCAAGCCAACUCAGGCUACACAAGCCAACUCAUAUUGUAAAUUAUAGGACUUUCAAGUCCCCUCAACCUUGUAAAGAAUCGCCUUAUAUGAUAGAACAUCUAGCUAACUUAGAGUCUUUCACACAUACUCAUACAAGGGUAUCGAUUGUGGCAAAGGUUUUCCUUACAUGGCAUCAUGGGCAUACACAUUCUUAUAACAUAUCAAUUGUCAUGCUAUUAUAUGUCAUUUCUUAUGCAAUUAAUGAUGACCAAUCAAUUACAUGCACUUUAGCAAUCGGCAUCCAUUUCAUAACACAUUUUCAUGCAUAUCGUUACUUCACUCUUUCAAUAAUUCCUCGAUCAACCAUUCCCCCACCGUUGUCGGCCCUUCCCGAAGAUAGUGGGGAGGCAAUGGAAAGAGCUUACACAACCCUCAUUGAACGCGUUCUGCAAUUUUUUUAAUUUAAUUAAAAUUUAUAUUAAAAUUCAAAUAAGAGGUAAAAUGAUGUUGUUUUAGCUCCUUUGUUGACUCAGCUUUCUGGCAAACCACGUAGGCAACUUAUAUUAUUAAAAAUAAGCUAUGUUGGAUUUCUAGCACUUUUUAUAAGAGUUAGCACUUAAAUGUUUCAUUUUUCAAAGAAAGUGGCACUCAAGUGUGUCUUUUGGAAUUUUUGGCAUUUAAAUAUCUCCCAGUGCUAAGUUUUGGCUCUUGCGCUGUACUUCUAUCCACAAAAAUUAAAUAUAGAAAAGUGCCCUGGAUUGGGGAGACACCAUUACCUCUUGAUGUUGGCUUCGGACCUAGCUGACCUCGCCAUGGACUCAAGAAAAAAUAAUAAUAACACUCUUUGUACAUGAAUGAGGUUAGUCGAUCAUGGACGGACGUUGAUUUAUGUUAUUCUCAUAUAAGACUGACAUCAUCUAACAAUCAAAAUUCAUUGAGAUCUUGUGACCUAGUUCAUGCAAGUGCGGCUUGGAUCCACACUAAAACCACUGGGCUCAAUGCCUAGUGACGGGGACGCAAGAAUCCCUCUCGGUACAUGGAGAGUCACACGAAUCGUUUCGAAGUCUUUCGAAGAACAAGACAAAUGCCAGAGAAAGAGUAUCCAGAAAAUGAUGUCGGGUUUCAGCAUGAUCCACGCGGAGGAUGACGUUUCUCAAUGACGAUAUGUCUGCUACACGAGAUGGUCAUCUCUCGACCAUCCUCUAUCGCCAUGGACGACCAGGAGAGCAGUACAGGGGCUCCACAGAGUGUGUUUCUCGGUCUUCUUAAACUUGACCGAGAAGAUAAUGAUGAACUAUAACAACAGCGGCGCCCAAAAGUAGAUAAUGAUGUUUUUUUUUUUUUUUUGCAUUUGCGCAGAUUUGUAUUCCUAUUUUAGUAUAUUUAUUUCAAUGAAGUCGUGUCACAUGACAUCGCCGUUUAAUUUAAUUAUACUACUUUCAUAUGUUGUAAGCCGCUUGAAUCUCGAAAAACUGAAAAUGUUGAAUUUAUAUAGUACAGAUGUACGUCUAUACUAGAAGAAAGUAUCAACCAUUAUUUCUGUGGAGAAUGACAUUUUCGUUUAGGGAACUAUUAAUUUCUGAUAGAUGUCACUUUUUAUUUCUUGAAUUAUAGAGAUGAUGACAUUCUGGUGUUUAAAAAAGGCAAUCGGCCUAUUUGUAUAUUACCAAAUAUCGCAUACUUUCCGUGUGGUCUAGACAUGUACUCAUGACCAUUUUUAUGAUCAUAUAAAGAUAUAUUAAAAUCAUCAAAAUAAUAAUAACGUUGCAAUAACAUUGCAAUAACGUCAAGAAUUUUCUAAUAGUGUACCGCAAUAUUUGGUUAAAUAAGAUUAGCAUCCAAAAGUACAUUUGCAAUUGUAAUUCCAAACAAAUAUAAAAACAGUUGACUUGGAAUUGUGCAUUGGAUAGCUGAUUUUGACUAUAAAUCAAAGGCAAAUAUAAGAAGUAGCUGACUUGUUGUGAGAGUAAUAAUUAGUAGCACAAAUGAUGAUAAUAAUUUUCAUCAUGAAACAUGCUCGAUUUACAUAGAAAUCAGCCAUUGAUUGACAUGUAUUUUCAUGUGCCAACAGAUGAAUAUAGUUGCCAGAGUCCCUAAUAUGUGUUUUAUCCUCAUCAUAACUUUUUUUUACGAUGUUCCGUCAAACUCGUAAUGUUUUUAUUUUUGACCGGGUCCUUUAAGUAUAUGUAUUUUUGUUACUUGUAUUUGGCCAUAUAUUUGAGAAAUUGACAAAAGUGCGCAUAACAUGGCAUCGAUUUGCAGUUGAUUGCCAUUCUAGCAUCACAUGUGAUGCUAGAUAUGUCGUCAAAAACCUUAAACAAUGUGGAGUAACAAAUAUUUUUUUAAAAAUUCAGAAAACGGGAGAGUCGAUCAAUCGUGACGAGGGUCUUGCAUCUCUCGUCAGGCUUCAGCAAAUGCAACGUGGCCUAGUGUUUCCAAAAAAAUUGUGGAGUUUAUGGAAUCUAUAAUGGUAGCUGUGUGGCAUACUUUGUAAUAGUAGUCAAGGAAAAUUAAAAAAAGUUAGACUCAUUGAUUUUGCUUCAUCAUUUACCAGCCAUACUUGAUUCCAACCAAAUAACAUUAGAAAAAUCAAAGUAGAUUUCUAUCACUAUUGCUCUUGAUUUUAACCAUCUAAAGCAGAGCAAUAGCUCCUUUGGCUUGAACCAAAGAUAUAUUCGGGGCCAUUCCUUGGCCAACCAGCAGAUGCAAUUGACAAAAGCAGCGUUGGAUCCCAAAGUGUGGGCCCCAGACAUCAUCCAUUAUCCGCUCUCAUUACUAAUGAUUCCUUGACAAGACCGUUCGCGCUGUCUUGAUGUUGGCCUUGACUUGGAAGCCACAGCAACGACUUACAUGGCCAACUCAUAGCUCUAUGAUUUGGGCUUCAAUAAUUGCUCAAUCCGAUCGGGGAGGUUUGCUUUUAUUAGGAGCCUGAUUGCGAUUGGUUGAAGGAAUAGCCAAACUGAGUUUAAAAUGAUUAAAAUCGUGAACAGAGAUUUUUUUUUUUAAAUUCUCUACUGAUGAAAUAAAUUAGUUUCAAUGGAUUGAUCAUCUAUACAAACUUGACAUCAUAUUUAGAUCUUUGUAUACAAACGAUUAUUUUGAUAUAGAGUAGAUAGAAUUAAAGACAAAUUAGAUCACUAAUCCCAAACCUAACAACUAUACCCCCAACUUUUGUGGGAAAUCUAAAGUAACAAUUAUAUGAACAAGAGACUCUCUAUACAAGCUGUCUCUAUGUCUCUUAAAAUAUUCAUCACUUUCGAAUGAAAUAUCAUGUUUUGUUAUGACGUGUCUCUCGAAGGUGGACAAUAGCAUGUUAUUUUACUGAAGCAGCUUUUAUGAAAUUCCACCAACGUGUUCUGACCUUAGCAUACACAUUUUGCAUGAUGGACCUAUGUUUUUGUUUUUUUCUUGAAUCACUUUGUGAUCUUAAUUUGCAAAUUCAACCUUUCUAUUCAAUGCGAUCUCUCACAAACUUACGUUAUAUUCAAAUAAUGAGUCAUGUGGAUUGUGAAAUUCUAAAUAAAUACAAGAAAUUGACAUUUGUAUUGGUUCAUAUUCCUAAGAUCUAAGGGACAAAUUUUAAAUGAAUGCCCAAAAUUAUGCUUCUAUGCCUUUGAUGAGUAUAAUAAAGCAUUUGGACUGUUCGACUUGAACAAAUGUCACGAACAUAUGCAGUUCACCUGUUCAAAUGUAUUUAGUAAAAUUUUCCACAGUGUGGUUAGCGAUACUUAUUUUGAAGGUAAGACGUUGUGAUGAGAUUUACCACAUAUAAAUUAAACGUUUAAUCAUUCAGCCAAUAAUUCAAAAUUGCAAAACAAAAUGAUUUGAUUGAAAGUUAUCGCCAUAUGGUUUUGAUCAUGGAGGCUUUUUGAACCGCCUUUUCUUAUAUUAGAUGCGAAGUCCAUCACGCCCCCUCUCUUUUGAUCAAAGUAAUGUAACGCCGGUCACACAACAAAAAUUAAAUAUAGAAAAAUAUCUGGGAUUAAUCUAGGGGGAGACUUUUAUCUUUUUAUGCUUGCUGCAGACAGAGUUGGCCCACCCCCGGACCGAAGAAAAAAAAAGGUAAGACAGGCUUCGCAUGUGAGCGAGCUUAGUCGAUCAGCAUCGUUGAUUUAUUUGGGCUCCAUAUGACUUACCUUAUCCGACAAUUGAAAUUCAUCGAGAUCUUGUGCACCUGAUUCAUGCAAGUGCGGCUCGGAUCAGCACUAAAACCACCGGGCCCAACGCCUGGCGACCAACAGGGGAGACUUGGUGACAGUGACACGGCCCACACUGCUGUCUCGACGCAUGAAGACUUCAAGUCGUCUCGAAGUCUUUCGGAGAACAGGACAACAUGCCAGAGAAAAAGCAUACAGAAGAGACGAGACGUUGUGGGGUUCUCUCUGUCAUCCAUCCGGAGGAUGACGAAAUGAAACUAACGCGAAUUGAGGACGUCACACGGGAGAUUCCACAGCGAGGAAACGUGUAUCACGCGAGCCGGUCGUCGCUCGGUUCAUUAUCUAUGGCCAUGGACGAGAAAUAGGAGUACAGCAGGGGUCCACCGAAAGCGUUUCUCAUUCUUGUUGCAUGUGAAUUCGAAAAAGCAAGGAAACGCCACAUUAAAAGGAGAAAAUGACAACGCCGCACGUGCUUCGAGCUGAUUUGACCUCUCCACCUAGUUUCUUCUAUAUUAGGUCAUCAAGUUCACUGUCCAUGAUAAUAGACCAACCGAUUGGCCCAUACCGUUGCUUGAUGAGCUGUAUACAGUCUUUUUUUUCUUUCGAAAUGGAAUGUUGACAACAUAGCAUAGACUUAAAAAGGUUACUUUCUUCUCAGAUUAGAAUCACUUAAACGUAAUAGCAAUGACACCAUUAUUAUAUGCACUCGAUAUAUUAAGACCUAGUGAAUACGAUUUGUUAGAUUAUAUAAAUUUCAUGUGAGAUUCAUACACUUGACCUGCCACUUUGUGUGGAAGCAAUAACAUCGCAUCGAGUAAAUAUGAACUUUAAAAGGAUCUUGGUAGGGAAAAAAACAUAAUCCCACCCUUCAUCAAAAUGUAUAUGAUAUGGCAACAAUAAAAAGAAAAGUAGUGGGGAGGGGGAAGGUGUAGAGGGGUAAUGGUGGGCACUAAAACAGAUUUCAGGAACGUCGUUAUCAACAAAUUCCAAGGACGGGCCAAUCAAAUCUCUUCACAGCCAAGCGAGAAAGCAGUACAUCCAUACAAAACAGUAAUUGCGAUUUUUCUGCAUCUCUGUGCUCCUUUUUAUUCAAAAGAGACUUGUUUACAUUAUUGAGUUGACGAGGACUGUCCAAAAUCUUGCCCUCUGGAGUUAAAACAAAAUCUUGCGCCAUUUUGCGUGCCAAAUCCUUGUAUCCCCUAUGGUCCACCACUAAAUAUUCUUGUUUUCCAUGAUGAUCUAUGGGAUUUGAUUGAUGAUCUCUUGGUCUCAUAAUAGGAUGAUCUAGUACCACAACAACACUGGUACCAAAAGAAUAUAAUGAUGAUUUUUGCAACACUAGAUACGUCUCCCUAUUUUCAUUUCAACGAGCUCUUGUCACAUGACAUUUUUUGUUAAUUUAAUUAUGCUGCUUUUAUAGGUUUUAAGUUAUUAUGAUUUUUGAAUGUUGAAAAUGUUGAAUUAAUGAUUGUAUCCAUAGAACUAUUAGUUUCUAAAAGAAGUCACUUUUUACCUCUCGAAGUACAAAUAUAAUGACUUUCGGAUGCCUUACAACAAAGUAACCAUCUUCUAUGAAUAUUAGAAAAUAUCGGGUACUCUUCACAUAGACUUGACAUAUACUCAUAAUCAUAUUUAUUGUCACGUAAAGAUGUAUUAAAAUCAUAAAAAGAAAAACCUGCACUAAUUUUUAGAAUUUUUUUAUUAAUGAAUUGCAAUAUUUAUUUAAAAAAGAUUGGCAUCCCAGAAUACAUUUGUAAUUGUAGUUCCAAGCAAAUAUAAAAAGCAAUUGACUUCGAAUUUUGUGCUCAGUAUGGGCAAAUAAAAAAAAGAGGGUUAUAAUUGGGAACAAAUAUGAUAAUGGUAAUUAUCUUCAUAAAAUAUGCUCGACUUAGAUAGAAAUAUAAAAAGCAAUUGACUUCGAAUUUUGUGCUCGGUAUGGGUAAAUAAAAAAAGGUAGACAAUAUGCUGUAAGAGUUAUAAUUCGGAACAAAUAUGAUAAUGGUAAUUAUCUUCAUAAAAUAUGCUCGACUUACAUAGAAAUUGGCCACUAAUAGACAUUUUUUUUUUUCAUGCCAGCAAAUGGAUGUUGCUACCAAGUCUCCAAUAUGUGUUUUCUCCUUAGAUUAAUCUUUGGCAUGAUAGUAUAACUGUUGGAUUAGAACUUUUACACAACGUCUAAUCAAGCCUGUAAUUUUUUUUAUUGGGUCCUUCAAGUAUAUAUAUAUAUAUAUUUAAUAUUUGUAUUAGUUCAUCUAUCUAAAAAAUUACGAAAGUGCUGCCACUAUGGCACUAAGUUAUAGUUAAUUACUAUUGUAGCACCACAUGUGAUAUUAGAUGUGGUUAUCGAAAACUUUAAAUAAUAUGAAAAGUUAAAUAUUUUUUGAAUCCUAGGAAGGAGCAAAAUUAGACGAUGCGGUUUUGUUAGUUGAUCCAACCCCUAAUCCAAAUUACCAUCAAGGCUUGAACUCAACUGGCACAUUUUAGUGUCGAAUUGUCCUGAUAUGAAAUCGUGAUAUGCUCGGCACAUCCAACAAUCUGGUCACACGAGACCCAUCUGAUUUAAUGGACAGAAUGUACAGGAUGUACGUGCACUCGGUCCCCAAAAUAAAGUUCAUGAAAUUUCGGAAGACAGUCAUGGGUUAUGCUUCCACUGCAACCUGUGCAGACGUCUUCGUUUUUCGGUUAAGAUGUUAGACCAUCUUGUGUUCGUGGGUACCCUGGAGGGAUAAGGGCCGUCGGGUAGCUCGCUGGAUGCGUUCUUUCCAAAUAGUGUAAAGACUAAGUUAUCACGAUCAGUUGAACUGUAAUAGUUGCAAUGUAUAUAAGCAUUAUUCUAACUUACUUUUCAAUAUAACGUGAGGCAUUGUGGUGACUUGGUAUGUAAGGAAGCCUUACAAAUACAACAAAGAUGCAUUGCUCGAAGGGAAACCACAAGAAAUACUUUUGUUUUCAAUCUUCUGAUAAGAGAUUUUUUUUUUUGGUUACGACUGCAAAUCAAUUAAAGUAUAGUUUGAGGCUACUUCUUUGCACUGUUGUUUGAGAUAUUAUAUAGGACCCUGGUCAAUGACUAAAAUAUCAAUCUAGUAUGAGCCAUGAAUUUGUAAAGUCUCGGUAGAUAGUACGAAAAAGUACCAGUUAUUUCUAUCGCACUUUUAGAACCCAAAAAAAAUAAAAUAAAUUCUAUCAACCUUAAUAUAGGUUGUAUAUUCCUUGCUAGCUAUUGUUUUUCAUCGCAGUUUAUUAGUACCAAACUUACAAAACAAUUAAGUGCGUUCGUCCUAAAAAUAAAACGAGUUUGUUUUGAUAUAAAGUUAUUAUCAAGGAAAUUCCCUAGUACUUCUUUAUUGAUCUUGUGAUCCUCUCAUCUAGGUUUAAAUAAGAACAUUUUGUUCUUGUUGAAUUGACUAAUAUAGUGUUUUUCAUCCCUUUAUCAUAUUUAUAAGUAAUCAUAUCAAGGUUAGAAGAUGUGGUAUUUUCUAAGUUUUGAAUCAGUUUGUCUUUCCCGCUUUCGCUAUUAUUUAACACUAAACUGAUUAAAUGAACUUAAAAAUAAAGAGAAAGUAAAGCAAAUUGAGAUUUUAUUUUUGUUUUGCCAUCAUAUCAACUUAAGAUCAUAUUACAAAAAAGGAAGAAAAAUUGAAAAAAGAUAUUUUUCUAGCCUAUUAGAAUCCUUUUGGCCAACAAUUUUGUUAUCUUUUUGCGGAAAUGAAAAUUAUAUUAAGAUUAAUUGCAAUUUAAUUAGGGAAAAGUAAAGACUGAAAGUGAAUGGAGAUUCUUACUUGUCAUAAAAGUGAACUAGGUUUAUAAUAAGAAAAAAAGAAAAUAGAAAGUAGUAAGUAGAUUAUUAUUUUGACCUAUUAUUAUCAUAUGCAAGGAAAAAGAGACAACGAAGAAAAGAUAAAGGGAAAGAGAGAUUAUGAUAAUGUCAAAAUGACCAUAUGUCGGCCUUCUAUAAGUCUAGCUCAGUGCACUAUAAUAUUAGAUUGUGACUAUUAAACGUGCACAAAUGCUUCCAUAACUAUAAGUCCAAAACAAAUGGCAAACAUAACAUAUAUAUAGAAUACACAAUCAACCCGAGAAGUCCUUAUGGACAAUUAAUAGACAUGUCAUUAUAGUAACAAAGGAUCGGAUGUUGAUGUUGGAACUUGCUAAAUAGAAAAGAGAGCCCAUUGUCCCAUGUUAGCUCAUCCUUGAAGUAGUUGAAGUUGCAUGGGAGUAGAAGUUCAUGCACCACGCUCUCGGUCUCUUCAUUAUUUUCUUCAACUAUUGAGCUGUCAAGCUUGUGGUUGAUCUUGGCGAGUUGCUCAGCCACUUCCCUCAUUGUCAGCCUCCUCGCUCCACUUGAGUCCAAGCACUUUACUGUAAUCUCAACAACCAUUCCUGCCUCUCCAUUUCAUCUUCAGUAGCAGGCUCGAAGCUAAGGACAUCAGAGAGUAUCUUAUCCUUCAUGGAAGAGAUGAAAUAAUGGAUAAUAUUGAUUGACUCUCUAGGCUUAAUAAUAGAAUUUGUGGGCUUCUUUUUGGGGAGCAACUCGACAAGGACAACUCCAAAGCUAUAUACAUCACUUUUAAUUGUUAGCAUACCAAUGGUUAAAUAUUUUGGAUUGAUGUAGCCCAACGUGCCUUGUAUUUCAUUAGCUAUGACAUGACUAUGCUCUGGUGAUAUAAGUACCAAAGUUCUAAAAUCAGAUACUUUUACAAAGUAAUUUUGAUCCAAAAGUAUGUUUACGGACUUGAUGUUGCAAUGAAUGAGUGGGGGUUCUGCACAGGAAUGCAUAUACUCGAGUGCAAGAGCAGCUUCGGCGGCUAUUCUAAGUCGGUUUUUCCAUGAUCAUAAGAUGGUCAACGCAUUCUAAUGGAUGUUUUGGAAUAGGGUACCAUUUGAAAUGUAUUCAUAAACUAGCAAGUUUAUUCUAGUCUCCAAACAUUUGCCAUGGAGCUUCACCACAUUUUUGUGGUUUAUUUACAUCAUAAUUUGAAUUUCAUGUUGGAAAUCCCCCUUGAUUAGAGACCUAUGCACAUCUUUAGGCUUCUUCACUGCAACCAAAAUGGCCUCUACUAUUCUGGCUUUAGAGACUAAAUCGAAACCGCCCUCACCAAGUAUAUUGCUAUCAUCGUAAUUGUUGGUUGAUUUUAUCACAUUCACCAAGAGUAUCAACGGAUGAGUCUUUGUCCAAGUACCUUUGAUACAUAGUAUCAUUUGACUUCUUGGGUUUCCAUCAGGGUCUUGCAUUUGGGUCUACUUCAUUGGGAGAAUUUGUACAAUAAGAGCAUUGACAAAAAGGGUCCUAGAAACAGUGACCAUAUCGAAAAACCAUUACACUACUAGUUAAAUGUUUAUUUGUCAAUCCUUUUUGAGGCAAACCACAAGGGAGUAGGCGAAUUUUUACACAGGUGCGAAAAACUCUCUUGCAAGGUAGCAAUUGUGCUUCACACGAGUUUUCUCAAGUCGUAUCGAUCACAAUUUGCUUUCCCAUUUAUUACUAAUCAAAUAAAAAUAAAAUAGGCAGUUGUGAAUAAUCUAUUUUAGACUAGUUAGAAGUCAGGUAUGACAUGAGAGAUCGCUUUACCUCUACAAAUCAGAGAAUUAGGUACAGGUAUUUGGUUAACGCCCAUUGGUCGGUACCUCUAUUCUUAAAAGGAAAGUUUUUUUUUACAGUCCCGGUCGAUUUUAUUUCCUUUCAUGCGUCUGCAUUUUCAAGCAUUUAUGGUAGUAAAUCAUACACUCUAAAAGUUACCAAAUAUGAAAAAUGUAUGUAAAGCAAUAAAAAAAAAUUGAGAUGGUAAAUAAAAGUGGAAAAAAACAAGCCUAGCCGCGUUGGGCAAGCAUUAAACAUAGUCUUGUUAUAUGCCCCGGGUCAAGAUUUUGUUGCAAUGAAAUAUGAGAAACAGAAAUCCAUGUGCCCUAGAGUCCUAGUUACAUUGCUUUCAUGAAUAUUUUUCUCUUUUAGAAUACAUUAAGGGCUUAAACUUCAAUUCAUCUCUCUUGCCAAGGUUUUCAUAGCUGGGAAAUCAUCAUGGAAGGUUUGAAAAACAAGCUAAGUGUUUUAACUAUCGGGAAAAUGACAUAAAUGGUCAUUGAACUUAGGCUUGGUGUGCAAUUUGGUCCAUGAACUUUUAAUUUGUUUAAUGUGGUUCACUAACUUUUAAUUUAUUUAAUAUGGUCUAUGAACUUUUUAUAAAAGUUCCAUUUAGUUUUUAAACUAUAUAAAAAUAUUCCAUGUUGUCCCUGAUCUUUAAUUAAUGAAAGGAUAAUAUUUAAUAUUUUUAUAUAUUUCAAGAACUACAUUAACUAUAUAUAAAAAAUUUAGGGACCAUUGUAUCAUUAUCCCUUUUGACUACCCAUCGGCAUCCAAGUGGAUGAAUUUUAGGCCUUAAGCGUUCGAAGGUCAAUAAAAGUGUCAUGCAAAAAACAACUUUAAAAAAGAUUCCGGAAAUGGGCCUCUAUGAAAUCCUAAUGUAAUAUUAUCAAGGCCCGAUGCAAAUUCGAAACUGGGCUUGUCCAUGAGCAGCCUAAAUGCCAUUUCGACAGUUUUAGGACAAUGAGACUCGUAUCUGAGGUGAUGCAAAGAGGCUAAGUCCAAUGAAUUUAGAAAGCCGAAGGGCCUUACUAUACAAUUUCUAAGACUCUUUUGGAAAAUGAUUCUUAUAUCUAAUUCGAAGCGGGGAGGCCCAAUACUACUUUAAAUUUUUCUUAAACGGGCCCUAUAUUUGGUUGGAAGGUCCAAUAUGGCUUAUAAAACACAUAAGAAAUUGGGCUUUGCCAAUCUAAUGAGGUGCACCGAAGCCCAAUGCAAAAAGGUUUCUUUUUGGCUUUUUUUUGGGGUCAAAAUUAUACGUCAUGAAACUAAUGGUUUAGGGACAACGUAGCAACAUAGAAUUCGUUUAAUGUGAUCGACUUUUAGUUUAUUUCUUGUGAUCUUUGUACUUUUGGUAUAUGUUCAAUCUUAUCCAAGGACUAUUUUAGAAUUUUUUUUUUUUAACUUUAGAAAAUAUAGGAAGUUUAUCCAAAAAGCUCCCCUUUUUAUGAUAUAAAAAAUUUAUAUACCUUUUAAUUAUAUAAAUAUGUUCAGACGAAUGAAGAUUUUGAAUUAUUUAUUGUGUAUAAAGUAAAAGUUUUUGCCAAUCAGCCAAAGUUAUAUAUAAAGUUUAGAUCAAAGUACUUGGCAUGCAUGACAUAUUUCCCGUGUGUCAAAAGAAAUGAAUAAAUUUAAGAUCAUAUUUCCCAAUUUAAGCAGAUUUGCAAUAAGAUCACUUUGGAAAAAUAGAAAAAAGAGAGGUGAUUUAUCAUUUGUAGAAUCAACUUCUAUUAUUUAAGCAUCAGAGCAUGUUAAUUUUUUUCUAUUUAAGCAUCAAAGCAUAAUAGAAGCGUUUUCUGUUCAAGAAUUACAAAUGCAAGAGCUAUAAUUUUCAAGUAUGGAACAUGAAUCUUUGUAAGCGCAAGUUUCUGCACAAGUUUUCUUCUAUUAAUGAAAGUCAGGUAAGCUUUAUAGACGCUCUUCUUCUGCAAGCAUAUGCUCUUCCAUUUUAAGCACUGUUUCCUCUGUAAGUAUCUGAACAAUAAGAGAUAUACAUUGCUAGCUCAUGCUCCCUCUUUGCAAACUUAAUUUCCUCUUCAAAAAUCAUGGCAACAAAAUCUUCGUAGUUACCUCUACUCUCCUUAAUAGGUAACAGAGAGAACAAUAUGGAUUGUUAGCACGUGCUCUUUAAAAACAUAAGUUCCUCUUCAAGAAUCAAAGUAGAGAAGAGACAUCAGAGCAUAGGUUCUUUUUUUUUUUUUUUCCUUUCUAUAUCAUGGCAAACAUGUUUGGUACGUGUGAUGUUGUCUUGCAUAGGUUCACGGGGUCACGACCUCCCAUGAAGUGAGCGGAGUUGAUUCCGCUUACUGACCGUGACUUAUAGACAUCAAUGCAUUAUGCACUUUACCUUGUAAAGGAACUUCUGCAUGCAUGUGAGGGUAGAUCAUUAAAUCAGAGCUUCUAUUUCUGAGCUAGAGAUAUGCAUCGGAUCGACAGAAAUUUUUCUCGAACCAAUUUCAGUUGUCGCAGACUCUCUUUCAUCCCCUUUAAUUCAGUCCAAAGCUUGAUGCAUUAAGAGUUUCCCCUUCUUAUUUCCUUCAAGUAAGUCUUUCUUUUCUUUUAAGAUAUAGAGUGUGUUUCCUGUACACACGGACACUUCCUCUUAUUGCGCGGUUCCUCUACCUCCGCCAUUCUUUGCAAACCCUAUCUCAUCUUUCCUCCAAACUUCUCCUUUAACAACUACUUGGCCUAUCGUCUACUUCCAUGUCAACGGGGAGAAUCUUCCUUUUCUUCAUCCAUCUAUUAACAAUUGGCUUGACUUGCACAUCCUACUAAGUAUCUCGAAUCCCUCUGAUCUCCGCAAUCCAUUAUCCCAUUCCAGUUCCUCAGGAAUUUUAAGGCCUUUCUCUCUGUGCUAGCGAUAUUAUGAAAUCUAAUUGAUUGUAAAUAUCUUUCGAGAUUUUGUAUAUUUCUCAUUUGAUAGUGUAUAUCAUUGAUUGAUAUGUUACCUUCAAUAUUCAUCUCAUAAAAGCUUAUAAAAAAGGCUGAUGUAAUUUUUGUUAUGAAUAUAUCAAAUUAUAGAGAAAUUUCUCAAAUCUGUCUUCUACAUUUUAUUUUCAACUCUUAAGAUCCUUCUCAUCGCACAGCCAUAGGAAAGAUUGCCCGAGCUUUUAAGAUUUGUACUAUACAUGUUCGAGAAAACGAGUGUGUUCCAAGACUGAAUGAAAUGCCAUUGACGAUAGCGAGCUAAUAGGAGUUUUGUUUCAUAUUUGGUAACGUUCUUUGUCGGAGCAUCCUUGGGAGGAGACAUAGAUUCGGAACUUUUUGCAACACUUUACUUUUCAAAGGAAAUGAUCCAUAAGUUAGAAAUGUCACUCCCCCUUUGUUUCCAUUCCAUAUUAAUUCAUUCCCCAGCAAAAAUUCAUCUCCGGAAAUAGGGUAAAAGUCUCUCAGUAUCAAAUAUAUUGGCCCCACCCCCUAAAAGGAGUGGCGCGGGGAUGGAUACAGUCAUUUCAUGAACCGCUCCAACCUCGGACUCUAGCCGCUUUGUAUAUUUAGUGUUUUAUACUAUAAGUUUUAUAAGAUAUUUCGUCGCGGGAGCAAUUUUAGCGAAAUACUAUUUUAAUUACAUUUGGUUAAUUGUAAUAUAACGUCACAGAGUAUCCUAACUGGACAUUACUCUUUUUUCUAUAAACAAGUUUGAUUAACAUCGCAUCUUGAACUAUAUAAUCACUAUAUUACCAGUUUCCUUAAUGUUUAUAUUAGUGCUUUAUGCUUUGUCUCGCUAAUUUGUCAAAAGAAUUUAAAGUUAUAGAAUCAUAAGCCUAUUUUACAACUUAGUCACAAUAAAGAUCGAUAUUAUAUUACUGCAUUGAAAAUAGAAAGAUCGAUAGAAAGGUCAAUUCUGAUGUUUUUAGAAAGUGCUAUAAAUCAGUACACUAUUUCAUUGGAGUUUUAAAUAAUCAUAUUAGUAUAAAGAGUGUUUGCGCAUGGCAUGGGUUCUCAAAUUAGCCUUUUGCAAAAAUUUGAUAAAAUUUCAGCUGAUAUUUAAGAGGACUGAGAAACUUUUCUGGGUCGACCUCCCUUUCUAAUCCUUGAAGGAUAGUAAUUUCUAGCGGACUCUAUCUUCCCAUGAGUAGUGCAAGGAAAGGUACAAAUCUCAUGUCUACACACCAAACAAAAACGGGCAGGGACGAUUUUGUCACUUCUUCUCCAAAGUGUCAUUUUUCUUAGUGAAUAUUUUACGGCACAGAGCGAGACAAAGACUUGCUAGCAAAUGCCGCCUUCUUUUGUCAAAACAUCCCAACGGCUUCUUGUGAAGUCCGGCUUCUAGGACGACCUGUCAAGUCUUCCAUAUGGAGCCCGUGUACUUCCCUUCUUGUUUAAACACUAAUGGGUCUUAUUCUGUUUAUUUAUUUUGUAUGUAUAGUGAAAUCCCGCGAACCUACAUUGAAAUUGACCCAAUGGUAAAGCUGUUCUCAUGCUUUCGGUUCAAAAAAUCGAUUGUUGUGGGUUCAACUCCUACCUUGGGCAAUUCAACUUUGAGUGAAUGGUCAUGGUGGUGGGUUGUUAUUUAAGUCUCCCUCCAUAUCAUUAGCUAAUUAUGGUUGCAUCCUUGGAUUAUAAAAGAAAAAAUUCUGAGAUCCACUGACAAAAAUUAUAGAAAUCAAGAAUGUACAAGGUGUGUUAGAACUAUUUUUUUCACGAAGUGCAGAAGGUAUAAUGUGACUAUGCUGGAAGAUUCAAAAUAUCUUGAAGGUCAAAAAAGGGAAAAUACUAUAGUAUGUGGAAAGAGAUUACAAUCAAGAUUAGGGGUGAUCGGGUCCAGGGUGGGUAGGGUCUAGACCUAGACCCUGUUCCCGACCCUGUUAUAACGGGUUCUCUUUUUUUGGACCCUGUUCCCGACCCUGUUUACAUUGGACCCUGUUCCCGACCCACCCUGUUUUUCCGGUCUGGGAACAGGGUCAACCCUGUUUAUAUUGGAACCUGUUUUGCAAAAAUUAAUGUAUAGCACUCAUAUUUAAAAUAAAGCGUUUAACACUCAUAUUGAUCAACAUAAGCACAUCUACCAAUUGAUCAACAUAAGCACAUCUACCAUUGUAGCAAAUAAUUUGUACCUCAUAACAUCACUAGAAAAGGAAAAGAAAGAGAGUAUUUCAUCACAUCACAGGUAUCCACUCUACCUCCAUUGAUCAUUUGCCGUAAAGAAAAGGCAAAGAGAAGAAUUGAUCAUAUUCCACUGCCCCAUCAACGGACCAAUCAUCGCAUCUCGACCACUUCCAUGAUAUUUAAGCUGCAACAAUGCCAACAAUGGCAUACAUCAACUGCUGAAACCAGAAAAAAAUAGAAUGCAACAACUUGAGGCAUUCGUUUUCUCACAAGAAAGAUGUGCAAUAACUUACCAUUGGUGGUGGUAAAACACGAGCAUCAACGACAUCAAGUUCCUUUCUCACCGACAUUCCAAAGAGAACUAAGAUUAUGCAAAAUUUAUUGACGGGAAAAAGAUGGAUACUUUCUCUUGUGUAAGACAACUAAGAUUAUGCAAAAUUUGCAAAUCACCAAUGAAGCCACUAAUUAAUGUCAUGUAAUUCUAUUCUUCUGUUUUCGUUGAGUUCCCAUUUAAUUUUUUUUUUAUUUCUGUUGCGUUUGAGUCAUGUUUUAUGACGUCAAAAGUUAUCAAUCAACUUAAUUCAUAAUUAAAUUACUAUGCAACAACACAUACCAGGUCCGUCAACUCGCGCAAAGUAGCAUCUUUCCACGUAUAAAUCUGAACCUCAUCUUUGGGCUCUUUGCCUCUCACUGCAAAGUCUUCCUUGGAAUGAUGGCCCCCAAGCUGUUAAAUUUAAUUGACAUUUAGCAAAUGAGUAAAGUUUAUAGUUUAUGCCACCUCUGACAAACACCUCAGAUAAAUAACCCAACAAGGAAACCACCCCAACAGAUGGUGAAAAGUUAACAAGAAUGUUGUCAUCUUCAUCCUUUCUAUGUGAAAUUAAAGUAAUGUACAUGCAAGAGACAUCAUGGAAAAGGAAACAUGGGAUUUUCACAGCACUAAAGCUCUCAGUAGCAAACAAUGACAUGUAACUCAUAGCUGGAUCACCGCAUAUUCUCUGAACAGAGAUGUUUAUCAAAUGGAAGAGCAUCACCACACCCAGAUAUAAAACACGUGCAACCUGCCAAGCAACCAUAUUGGUGCUUGUGUCGAAUGUAGUAUUCAAUUCUCAUAUAUGGAUGAAAGAGAAAAUGAGAAUGUACUGCAAUGGCCUCUUCAAGUUGCUGAUGCAUUUGCUUUUGUUUCUUUAUUGUUUUCUGAUGUGUGGACCGCAGAAAAAACUCACUGGUCACUUUUUUGCAAGAAUCACACAAAUCAAAAAGAAAGAUGGAUAAUGAGAAUAGCAGUUAUUUCAUCAUUGAGGAAUUAAUAACAAGUAAUAGUUCAACCAUGUACCAAUUAACUUAGAAAUGAAGCAAUUCGCCAGCAUCCAUUAUGCUAUUCCAACAAGACUUGAACAUGUUCUAGACAAGGAUGAGGCCAUUUUCAUACAUCUUCUUGCCCCUUCUCUAUAUUAUUUUAAGAUGCUAGCUUGUAACCAGAAAAAUUCAACCAUAUAGACAAAGGAAUGCCCUUCCUUGGUUAACACUUCUCAAUAAGCCAUUACCUCUUGACACCUAGACAAGGACGGUCGUUAAAAAAAAUGAUAUCAAUGGAUUAAAGGAAACAUUGAACUUGCUCAGCUCAGUCAAAUUGUUACCGUGAGGCGGUGGUGUGAGCACGAGGGGUGCGACGAGAGCAGCAGAGGCGGCGUUGGAUGGAAUCGGGAUCAGCGCUCGGACAAAGGGAGGCACGGGCGAGCAAAGGUGCGACUGCGGGUGCAGGCGUCGGCGGAGGAGUCUCGGCUGCAGGUUGCGGACAGAAGGCGGGCGGGCGGGCGACGCUGGAGUUGCUACAGGGCAGAAGCAGGGGCUCGGCUGCAGAUCUCAUGGGUGAGCACUGAGCAGGGGGCUCGGACGGACGGGUUGAGGACAGGCAGAAGCAGGGGCUCGGCUUCUGGCAGUGGCGCGGGCGACGCUGGAGUUGCUGCAGGGCAUAAGCAGGGGCUCGGCUUCUGGCGGUGGCGCCCAGUUUCGCGAAGGACGAGGCUCAAGCAGAGAAGCAGCAGCAGCUUCGCGAAGGGACGAGGCUCAGGCGGAGAAGCAGCAGCAGCUUCGCGAAGGGUUGGGGCUCAGGCGGAGAAGCAGCGGUGGUGGCGCCCAGCUUCGCGAAGGAUGGGGCUUAGGCGGAGAAGGAGUAGCAGCGGAGAAGGAGAGCAGCAGCUUCGCGAAGGGGGUGAGACUUGUGAGAGAGAGGUAAAGAUAGAAAUUAGGGUUACGCGGUUUUUUUUUUUUUUUGGGUGGCUUAACCGGUUCUCCAACCGGUUCCAAAACCGGUCCGGUCGAACCGGUUCCCGGGUGGGUAAUCCCUCGGAACCGGUUCCCGGACCGGUUCAAACAGGGUCUGAGUUGUUGGAACCGGUUCCCGGACCGGUUUCAACCGGAACCGGUUCCUGACCCUGUUUUCCGGGUGGGCCGAACCGGGAACCGGGUUGACCCGGUUCGGUUGCACACCCCUAAUCAAGAUGAUGGAGGGGAAGAGGCAUUUAAACUUCAAGCAAGAACACCAAUGUGCAUACAUGUGUGGUGGUUCUCUCAAAUUACAUUGGUAAUGAAAUAUUUGUAAAAAUGUAGACAAAUUAGUGUACAAAACAAAGGGAUAAAUGAAAUAAAUAGUUUUUGAACUUUGGCCUAAUAUGUAAUGUGAUCCGUAAACUUUUAAUGUAUUUGAUGCGGUCCAUAAACUUUUAAAUUGUUCAAUGUGAUCCCUGGACUUUUAGUACAUGUUUAAUAUAGUCCAUGAAUUAUAUAAAAAUGUUUAGUGUUGCCUUUCCAUUAAUUCGAGAUCAAGGACAUUUUAUUGUUAAGGGACAAAAUUAAAUAUGUACCAAAAGUCCUGAGACCAUAUUAAACUAAUUAAAAGUUCAGGAAUAACAUUACACAUCGAUAUAAAGUUCAAAAAUCACAUUACACAUUGGACUAAAGUUUAAUGAUCACUUGUGUCAUUUUCCCAAAAACAAAAGGGAUAAGUUUAGAAAAAUGUGGAAUUUAAGAGAAGUCACGAUACAGGAUAAAGUGGCAAUAAUGUGAGAAGUCGCUCCUUGGAUCUCUUUACUCAUAGGCAGCAUAGCACACUAGAGUACUCAUUUGGAAUUUAAGUGACCGACGAGUUUAUCGGAACAUCAUGUUGACAAUUACUCUCACGAGAUCCCUAGAAGCAAAGCAAUUUAAGUUUCUAUUUAGAAUGUCUCUUAUGGUUGUUUUUGUUUUUGUUUAGAAUUUGAGCAAGAGAUUUUAUGUUGUUAAGGAGUUCCCCAAGAGUAUUUAUUAAAUAACUAUAAUGAAACUUUUAGAUUUGAAAAAACUGAUUCUUCUCAUGUCAAAUAAAAUUACUACAUCGUCGAGAAUUGAAAAUUUUCCAAACUUCUGAAACAAUCAUGGCUUUAGAAUGUUCGCAAUUUGAGUGAAAAUGAAAAUGAAUAUGUUAAUUGCUCGCAUUUAUAUUUAAGUAAGUUUGUAUCGGGUUCAGACGAAAAUAAAAGUUUGUAUGAGAUAAUAUUUAUAACUUGUUCAUGAAUCAAAAACAUGGUUUGCCAAAAAAGCCGGCAAUCACUUUCCCACGGUCAGUAGCGAUGACCCGGUCUUCCAAUGUGCUGACCGACUUCGCUGCCGCCAAGGCAUCGGCAUCAACGAAAGUAGGGAUUAUAAAAACCGGUAAGACGAGAACCAGAGGAAGGCACAGGAUGGAAAAACAUAAAGAUGAGAGCGGCUGUGUUGUGCUGUCUUUCAAUUCGAGUGGCCUUGGCUUUGGCCACUUUUACCGUGAAGGACAACUGCGACCGAACGUGCGGCAACAUGAGCGUGCCUUUCCCAUCUGGACUCGACGAAAGUUGCGCGUGGAACUCCUACCUCGUCCUCAGCCGCAACCACACUUCCAGGGACCUGUCUCUCGGUGACAACAUUCCGGUGUUGGACAUAUCCGUGGAGAACGGGACAAUGACCAUUGGCCAGCACAGAGCUUUCGACUGCUAUGACGAUAAUGGCCAUCUGCUUGACGACUCUGUCUUGACACUUCGAUCACAUUUGGUGAAGACGGGCAAUAUACAUUCUCACUUCUCAGACACCCAGAACAAGCUCACUGUCUUCGGUUGCGACACCUCGGCUGUUAUCUUGGAUGCCACUAGGACUUCCGGGAGUGGAUGCUUCUCCUAUUGCCGCGAGGACAUUAACUUCAUAGCUGAAAGCUAUUGCUCCGGCUACAGAUGCUGUGAAACAUCGAUCCCCAGGAGCCUCAGGAGCCUUCAUAUAUUCAUGAGCGGCUCAACGAAUUACACCUCGGUUCAGGACUUCAGCUCUUGUGGGUCAGCGUUCUAGUGGACCAGGACUUGUUUAACGUCUCCGAUUACAGACUUCCUAUCCCAGAUGAUAUGUUCGUUAAAAAAUACUCAAAACGUUGUCCUGGAUUGGGUAGUUGAACGGGAAUUGACCUGCAAGGCAGUGCAAUCGAACCGACCGAGCUAUGCUUGUGGUGCCAAUAGUUUCUGCUCUGACUUCAGGAGAGGGCAGGGUUAUCGUUGCUUCUGUGAUGCUGGGUGCACGGGGAUUCCCUAUGCCUCUCCGCUGUCCCCAGGAUGUCAAGGUAUCGUUCUGUUCUCUUUGCAAGCCAAAGUUUCUAUGAUUGGAUUGGGCCAAAUUUUCUGCGGUCCAAUUUCCUCGCACCAGUUUUUCAUCGAGUCGAGUUAGAUGCUUCAACACAUAUUAAGAAGCCAAAAUACAAGCAUGCGCAUAUUCAGUUCACCAUGAUUUUGCUUCAUAUAGACAUUGAUGAAUGCAAGGAUCCACGACGAUACCAUUGCAUGGAAAUUGCAAGAAUACGCCCAGGAACUACACAUGCGACUGCCCAUUCGGCAUGACUGGUGAUGGCAAAGUCGGCUGCCAAAUUUCGAGUCUUGCCCACAACCGCUGCAGGUAAUUCUAUUCCCCUGUGAUGGUCGCUUAAUGAACUAUUCUAUUCUUGCUGAUCGCGAGUCCACUUGCUAUUGAUCUGGUUUAUGUUGAGAUGUUCUGAAAUUGUAUUCGAUCCUACUUUUCAACCGAGAGAUCAUUGGUCACCAAUCGAUGACCAUCGGAAAAAAAAAAGGUCAGUCUCGCCCAGUGAUUGCAAAGUCAGUAAAUUACGAUCCGUUAUAAUCCGAGAAUCCAUUCCAAGUACCAUAGAAGUGCCCCUCAUCUGGGUUUUUUCCUUUUCUUUCUUGGUGUUCACCAAGAGACACUCCCAGCCGCACCGUGUUUUUCUUUCUUCUGGUCGUAUAUUCACUGCACACACCACACUGCCUUUUUAUUAUUCACGUCAAAAACACACCUUAGCCUUUUGGCCAAAAGGCUAAAAAGUCCAACCUUCAUCUAAAAAUUGCAAGUUUACUAACAUGACCAAAAGUACAUCAACGAACUCAAUUGAGUCUAACUAAAAAAAUUACCGACAAACUCCAAUCUAAGAGUCGAAGGUUGAAGAACUCUGAGGUCCAAGUAUUUAAGGGGGUCAAGUUAACAUUAAAAUUUAGUUCUUAAAUUUAAAAGGCCCAAAUUCAUCGUAUAACCUAAGUCAAAUUUUUUGGGAAAAACUAAUUAAUUUAUUACUCUAUUUUGUGUGGCAGUCAUUGUAUCGAUAACAUUAAGCGUAGUUGUUAGUGGGCUAGUCUUUUUCAUAUGCAAGAGGAGAGCCAAAGAGAGAUAUGUUGGGCAAAAUGGAGGAGAGAUCUUGAAGCACCAAAGAGUGAAAAUCUUCACUGAGGCACAGUUGGCUAAAGCCACCAAUCACUACAAUACUAGCAACAAGCUCGAUGAGGGUGGUUUUGCUUCAAUCUACAAAGGAAGAAUUGACGGUGAUGUUUUAUUCGCAGUCAAGAAGCCUAGAGAUGUCCUUGCCAAUAAGUCAAAAGACAUGAACAAGGACUUGUCUCUAAGUACUCACGAUGAAUUUCUACACGAAAUCAGCAUCAUUUCACAGGUGAAUCACUAGAACUUGGUCAAGCUCCUGGGCAUAUGUUUGGAGACAAAUGUGCCAUUGUUGGUCUAUGAAUUCAUUCCUAAUGGGACUCUCUAUCACCACAUUCAUGACAAGAGAUCGACCGUUUUGUGCUCGUGGAAGAAUUGCCUCAGGAUUGCCUCAGAAGCUACCUUGGCCCUCGAGUACUUGCAUUCCCUAGCUGACCCACCGGUCAUUCACAGUGAUGUCAAGUCUCUAAAUAUACUUUUAGACAAGAAGCACUCAACAAAAGUAUCUGAUUCAGGGCCUCGGUUUUGAUAUCACUUGGAAAGACUCAUAUAACUGAGAGAGUACAAGGCACAAUAGGUUACCUUGACCCUUAGUGUCUCACCAUUGGUGAAUUAACCAUGAAGAGCGACAUUUAUAGCUUUGGGGUUGUCCUUGUGGAGCUCCUCACCGGAGAGAUGCCAACUCGAUGAGCAAAAUAUGGGGAAAAAAUCAAUGCCGUCCAAUUUUUCAUCUCCCCCAUGGAGAACCAGACACUCAUCCAUAUGACAAAGUUCGAGGCAUCCAACGAAGGUGAAUUGCAGGAGAUCGAGGCAGUUGGUUCGCUUGCUAGAAGGUGCUUAAACUUUAAUGGUGUCAAAAGGCCAACAAUGAGGGAAGUGGCCGAGCAACUGACUAGGAUCAACAAGAACUUGUGGGCCGAUCGACAGGACGGUGAAGAGACUCAAAGUGUACUUGACGAGACGGAAUGUGAUUCUCUCCGGACUUCAAUCAGUGAAAUGAACAAACUGAAUCGACUGCCCUUUUAUUAUUUGACAUCGAAGCAGCCACUUCUAGUUCCAGUGUCUGAUUCGUGCUUUCUAACAUAAAAAUAAGUCCAGGGGUCGUAUGUCCCGGCUUGAUUAAUUAGAGAUUUUAAAGUUUUUUAAGGGAUGAUUCUUAUUUAAGGUAAGUACGGUUUAUGAUUUGCUGGAUGAAUAAUUACAGAAUGAUUGCGCUGUUCCGUAUCUCUUCGAACAAUUUAAUGGGAAAUUACAUUUUUGAAUUGCAUUUUCCCAUAGACCUUCUUUCCCAAAUAAAGCACGAAGGCAGUUUCCUAAUUUUUGGCGUUGUAUCGUUUUCUCUUUUUUUCCUUUUUGUCACUAUAGCAAAAGAUGCCGCUUUAUAGAAAGGCAAGAGCUACCAGAAAGCUUGAAUGACAAACUCUACUCCAUUUUCAUGUUUUAGCCGAACAACGAAAAAUAUGAUCAUUUUCUUAGAAAAUGACUUCUUGGAAAAUUAAGAUAAUAUAAAAUUCAUUCAUUAGUACCGUUAAUAAUUCUAGUUAUAUCCGCAGAGAUAUGCAAGGCCAAUUCUUCUCCAAGCCUAUUAAGUGAAUUCAUAAUACAAAGUAUGCAACCAUGGAUUGUGUCCUCAAUCCUUCAUUAUAUAUUAUAUGUAUUAUACACCUAAUAUGUUACCUUAGAUUUCAUACAAAAGAUAAGGAUUUUGGUAUCUUUUAAAGUGAUAAAAAAAAUUAAGUAAAAUGCUAAUAUUAAGGCCAUUGAAUUGCUACGGAAUUUAUUAUUACAUUUUAUUUAUUUUCACGUGGUAACAUUCACAAAAUUAUUUUCAUUUGGAAAAAUAUAGCGGUAUAAUGAAUUUAUUUUUUCACCUAAUUAAAAAAUGAAAUUCUUAUGAAAACAAAUGAAGUUUUUAUCUUGCUAGGCAAAAGACAAUUUACUUGGAAAAUUAAUCUUACAAUAUAUAAUAACAACAAAAAACAAAAACAAAAACAAAAAGAAACAAAAGUAAAAAUAAAAAAACCAGGCCUUCUUGAGUGUCUGUUUUUGUUGGUGCUGGGCCUCCCUCUUGUAUUCUUUCUUGGAAAAUCAAUAUAUUACUUACCUUUACCAAAAAAAAAAAAAAAAACCAAACUGAACUAAAUGAAUUUUCUUAUUGGUUCGGUUCGGUUCGGUUUUUCAAAAAAACUGAACUAAACCAAACCAUUUAUAGCUUCUCUUGCCUAGUCCAUGAUAAACAAACUCCAGCAUAGUGUCUCCACAGUGUAACUCAGUUUGGACUAUAGAAUCCCCCAACACAGAGUCUUUGUCAAUGCAAUUUGCAUCAUCGAUUGUUUUAUUUAUUUAUUAUUAUUUCAGUUUUGGUGCCGCUGUCUUGAGCUUGGCUUAUUGGCGGUCCUUGGUCUUAGGCUGCGAGGCGGCUAAGCCACCGUCGUCUCUGGUCAGGUUCCCAUGACUUAGGUCCAAGCACAGGAUCCUGGGUUUGUCGGAGGGGCAUCUGCUCCAAGGCAUUCGAAACAACCUUGCAAUAGUGAAGUUGUAUUCCAAAAAAUGAUUUCUAAUUUUCAAUAUAGAAAGCCAUAUUGCUGAUUUUAGAUAUAGAUUUUCCAUUGAUUAUAAAAUGAUUUCUCAUGGACUUGCUUCUUAAACGUUAAAAUACCGGAGAAUUGUAGAGGGUUUCGGUAAUUUACCUGAUUCUUUUUAUUAGUAUUUGGAUCACAUGCAUUGCAUGUGGUUUUGUGAUAUUAACAUCUUCAUAUAAAAAGAAUAUUGAUAAGGACAGGCUUUUAGGCUUUUAGGGUCGUCUUUGCCGGUUGCUGAUUGUUAAUUUUUUCAGCAGUGUUUUUGAGAGGGUUGUUUCCAAUAUUUUUUAAGUGCUUCUGAUAUUUGAACAGAAGAGUUUUGAACUUUAUGUAAUUGUCAAAAAACAAAUCCUCUCCGUAGCUUAUAUCCUCUAUACUAGUCACAAGCAUCAACAAACUCAACGAUGGUGGCCUCAAGAUGAGAUUAUCGCUUUAUCUAAGAUGAGUAAGAGAUUAUCAGAAGCUGCAGAGACAGUCACAUAUCCAUAAAUCAGAUGAGACAAUAAUUCAUUAAUCACAACUGUACUAUACAGUCGGUCAAAGACUCGUCCUUCUGUGCAUUUUUGCAAGAAGUAAAAUCCUUCCGAUGCUCUGUUAAAAAAAAAAAAAAAUCCUUCCGAUGCCAAGGCUUUGGGAUUAAAUCUUGCCUUGGUGACGACUUUGAAACCCUGUAAAGGUACAAGACUACAUUUCCACAUGAUGGAAGGGCCGAUGUCUUCUUAAUAUGCACAAAAGACCAAAGAGCUAUUGGAAGCUGUACUGCAAGAAAAUGGUCCAUAAAUUAAGGACAACACUUUCGUUACGUGAUCUGUGUAUGGCUGUCAUAGACUUAUAGUUACAAAUGAUAACUACGUUUUUGUAAUCACUGUGCGAUUAUGCAUGUAGGCUCAGCGGCGAUAAAGAUUAAUCAGUCAAUCGCAUCUCUCUGUCAUCUGCACAAGAUGGCUUGGAAUGUUAUAUGCAAAGAGCCUUUUUUGUUGUGAAUUUGCACCCUUGCACCGAUUAAACGAUCUGAGGCAUCAAUUCUACGUCUCUUCAGAGUUUUGAUCCUUUCGGAAAUGGCUUCCACUGAGUGUAUGGAUUUCUUAAUCUGCAGUUCUCUUCCAUGGAGGGCGAACGAAUUGACAUUGUCGGUGUAGUUCAUCUUCGUGAGCUCCUCGGUGGAAGCGGCAAACUGAUGCCUCGCCCGGAGCACUUACAUCGGAAGUCAGUAGGCAAGAUAGAAAAAAAAUAUUAACCAAACGAAGAUCAGGUGAUAACUCUUUGUUUCUUUUUCUUUUUUUAGAUUAAUACCACGAAAAAUCUCAAAUUGGUGCACAGAUAACAAAUUUAUCCUAAAUUAAUUAUACUCGUGACAAAUUUACUCUCCGUUAGUUUCUGUUAAAUUUUACUGUCAAAUUGCUAAUUGGAUAACACGUGGUAGUUAGGCUCCGUUUGGUUCGACUUUCCCAAGGGGCUUUGGGCCCCUAAAGCCCCUUGAGAAAAAUUUAUGGUGUUUGGUUCAGCAUUUGUAGCUUCUCUUCCCCAAAUGUUUGCCUUUGAAAUGCUGAAAAGCUAAAGCAUGUGGGAACUCGCUUUUUAGCAUUUUUGAAAUGCUAAAGAGGGGUAUAAUGAUUUUUUUUCUUCCGAUAUUACCCUCACUGAUAAUUGCAUUUUCCUGUUUUACCCUAAAAAAUUACUGUUCAUCGUCUUCCUUGUUGGACUUGUUUUUUCAAGAGUGAAGCUGAGCCGGCCAGAUCUAGUCGCCCAUGCACCGCUGUCGACGCACUGCCGUCUCGUGGUCGCGGCUCAAGCGGCAUCGCCUGGGUCGCGUGACUCGCGACGGGCUAAGCAGAGCUUAGCCGGCCAGAUCUAGUCNNNNNNNNNNNNNNNNNNNNNNNNNNNNNNNNNNNNNNNNNNNNNNNNNNNNNNNNNNNNNNNNNNNNNNNNNNNNNNNNNNNNNNNNNNNNNNNNNNNNGCACUUACAUCGGAAGUCAGUAGGCAAGAUAGAAAAAAAAAAAAAAUAUUAACCAAACAAAGAUCAGGUGAUAACUCUUUGUUUUUUUUUAUAUAGAUUAAUACCACGAAAAAUCUCAAAUUGGUGCACAUAUGACAAAUUUACCAUAAAUUAAUUAUACCUGUGACAAAUUUACUCUAUGUUAGUUUUCGUUAAAUUUUACUAUCAAAUUGCUAAUUGGAUGACAUGUGGUAGUUAAUAGGUGUACCCGUUUGAGGUUUUACUCCCUGUUUGCUAAAGGUGUAUGGGUUCAUGGUUUUUGGUGGUAUUAAUCUAAUUAGUGGAACUAAUAGAGGGUAAAUCCGUCGUAAAUGUUCUAAUUUGGGGUUUUUAGUAGGCAAAAAAUUAGUUUGGGUAAAAUUUAUCGCCGGUGUUCUAAUUUAAUUUUUAGUGAUCGAAAAAUUAAUUUGAAAUAAAUUUAUCAAAUAUAUAUCAAUUUAGGAUUUUGCCAUAUUUGCAUGGACAUAAGGAUAGUGUGUCCGGGCUUUGGAGAUCAUCAUGGCUUCAAAGUGACGUAAUUGAAUUCCGAUGCAGGGACCGUCGGUUGAACCAUCGCAUCCGGAACCAAAAAACGAGUUCCUCUCAUUCUCUGUCGCGGGACUGAAUCGAGUUCCCUGUGGGUUUUUUAAGACGAGCCGAACUGAAGAGGAAUCUGCAUUUCUGGAUGGGAAUUAAAACGUGGACAAAAGAAAUUGGGACGACCAAUGGAGGCCGUAACGAACGAGCGGUUUUUACCACGUGUUUCACUGUUCCUAAUUGUUGACGCCCACUGCUUCUUCCCCCACUUUUUAGGAAUAAAACAUUCCUGAUUUAUAGAUUUUUGGAAGUCAUAAGCUUGUUAAUAGAGAACAAAUUUCUCAGUGGGCUUCUUCCCUCUGCAAAAUCUUAUGUUAAGUUGUUAACUUGUCCCCCCCACAAAAUGGAGUAGCUAGUUUCUUUCCCCCACAAAUGCCCUGGAGUCAUCACAAGCAUGACUGAUUAUUAUUACCUUCUGAUAAUCCAUAAAAUUCCUUUUAAAUCCCAUGAAGAUUUAGGUUCAACCUUGGAUAUGAGCACAUGGCAUUGACCCAAAGUAGUUUACACAAUGAUCUCCCGUUCCUUAAUUGGAAAUAGCCCGACACUCCCAACAAACUAUGCUAAUCCGAAAGUAAGUUUUCUUAUUAUUAUUUUUCCUUUUACACGGAACAUGGGUUAGUUUUUCAUAUCUUUUCCAAAAUCCCUCUUAAAAAUAUUUAAGAUAUUUUCCCUGGUUUUCUAUAUCUAUUUUGAUUAAGUAUAUUUGAUUUCAUUUCCUUCGAUUUCCUCGAUCUAAUCCAAUAAAAAGGCUUUCCAUUUACUAAUAUAUAUAUAUAUAUAUAUAUAUAUAUAUAUAUAUAUAUAUAUUGAAGUAUAGAGAAAUUCUAUAUUCUUCUCUUCUGCAUAUUAUUUUAAUUAUUCAACUAUCCCUAACUCUUUCACCGAAAAGCUGAGAAAGAACUUUAACCGAUCAAGAUGACUACAUAGGAAAGGCAUUGAUCGUUGUAGUUGAUCUUUAGAUUACAUAUAGACUGAGGCAAAUGACGGCUUCCCUCUCUUUCCAUGAACAUGUCAAACUGUCUUUUGUUGUUUUUAAAAUGCAGCGGUCUCUCUCCCACAUGGGCCAAUACCAUGGAUGACUCGGUAUAUUAUUUUGUGUGACGAUUUGCCCCUUUUCAGCUUAUAAGUGAAAGAUAUUGACCGUUGAAGUAAAAAAAGAAAAAUUAUAAUUAUAUUACACAAAUAUAUCUGAUGGACUUCUUAUUUUAAUUAUAAAAUUUGCAUAGAGUCCUUUUUCUAUUCUUAGAUUGAGGUCCCUUUUAUGGAGAUGGUUAGUCAAAUGCGACUCCUAUUGAAGCAAAGGACCUUCGAAUUUCUAUUGAAAACUUCUCUUUUCCCCAUGGAGGUGGGCUUGAGACCUAUAAACUUGUCUUGCAUGGAGCACAGGUUCGAGAUGGGGUCACCUCAACUAUCUUCGGGCGGGGCUGAAGACGAAACUCCCCCUCUUCCCGGCCCACCCGACACCAUUGCUGUCACCAUCGAAUAAGGUUGCAGCCUUUGGGCAAACCGCAGAUUUUCAGGGUAUCAUAUUUUCGCAAUCUGCCUAGUGCUUCGGAGAAGUUUUCACAAAGUACAGCUUGUGUGAAAGCUAAACAUUUGAUAAAAUAUCAGCCGAUAUUUCGGAAGACUAAGAAACCUUUUUGGGUCAACCUUCCUUCUAAUCCUCAAUAGACGCUAAGUUCUGUGGCCUGCAGCUUCGCAUGAGUAGUGGUAAGAGGAAUGGACACAUCUCGUGUCUGCAUACCAAACAAAAAACUGGCAAGGACUACUUCAUCGCUUCUCCAGUAUGUCAAUUAUUUGAAUGAAUUUUCUAUGGCGACAGAAACAUGAAAAGAGGACGAAUUAUGAAGUCCAUCUUCUACGAGGACCAGUCAAAGUCUCCCCCGAUGUUGAUAUGAAGCCCAUGUUCUCACGUCUAGAUUGAUAAAAUCCUAGUGGGUCUUAUUUUGUUUACGUAUCGUAAAUUUCCGAGGACCUACCAUGAGAUUGAUCCAAUUAUAAGGGUAUUCUCAUGCUUUCGGCUAAAAAAAAUCCACUUCUGUGAGUUCGGCUUCUACUCUCGGGAUCUCAACUUUAAAUGGGUGGUCUUGGUGGUGCCUUGUCACGUUAGUUUUUUCUCCGAAUAGCUGGCUAAUUAUGGUUGGGUCCUCAUAUUAUUAAAAAAAAGCAACUUUGGGAACCGCCAACAAAAAAAUAGGCCUAUUUCCUUAAAAAGAAAAUCUCAAAUUUGAAGUCCAGUCCCAAUUAUAACCCAAUUUUUUUUAUCUAAAAAAAAAUCUCUAACUUUCACCUUAGUCUCCAAUUUGCAUACGUUAACUUUCCAUCCAAUAUCUCCAUUGAUUAUCUUAAGUGGCAUCUCCAUGUCAGCAAUAUAUUUACAUCAUCUGCUUACGUGGACUUUUCAUCAUUGUUUAUCAUCCCUAUUUGCUUUUCUCUUCUUUACUCCUUGCAACCUCCAUUAACAACUGCAACUUGUGAAUUUCAACUCGGUAAUAUUUUGGUCUAUCAUUUCCAACUUGAAAAACUUGUUAAAGCUACAAAUUUCUCAAUCUCAACUUCAAGAACUGAAUUCAGUCGACUCGAACAACUAAAGACCAUUGAUAGUGACCAAAUGUGAUCCCUUAGACAGGUUAAUCAUUACCGGAAGCUCAAAGAAUCUUGAAAAAUGUGGGUAUUGGAAUGUCCAAAGCUAGUUGAGAUUAGAGCCUCGUCACUGUUCACUGUUCUCUUCGCGUGGACUCACUCGAUCACAGCUUCACUGGCGCUCAUCCAUCGCCACCCAGACCUCUGACGCCAGGCCAUGACGUUCGACGACACGUUCACAAUGGUUGCAGUCGUCGGAAUCAUCUCUGGCCAUUUCGGCCGAGAGCCCCAUUUUCGAUUCCGGUUUUUCAAGCUUCAAGAAGCCAUUUUGAUCGGGCACCACCUUCGCUCAGCCAUCCCCAAAGCUUUAUAGACCCAUUACGCGCCCGGGUGAUAAUGAAAUGAGCCCAAGCUUUCCCUACAACCACCGCCGCUCGAAGGGCGCAUAUCGUUUCCUUCACUUUGUGCCCUACGGGCAACCUCCAUUAGUGGAGGUUGUGUGAUUGAGGUGCGCGACCUCACAUUUGAGGUCAUGCGACUCAGAUCUAAGGUCGCACAAUUCAAAUCCGACGUUGUGCGACCCAGAUUUGAACUUAAGCAUCCACUAAUGGAGUUUGCAAGGAAUUGAGAAGAAGAAAAAAAUAUGAAGGUGAUGAAAAAUGACAAAAAAUCCACAUAAGUGGACAACUUAAAUUUAAUGUUAACGUGGAAAUGCCACGUUGGAUGACUAAUGGUAAUUUUGAACGGAGGGUUAAUAGGGUAAAUUUGUGAUUAAAGUGAAAGUUGAGAUAUUUUUUUAGACAAAAAAAAGUUCGGGGUAGAAUUAGGACUAAACCUAAAAUUUUGGGGCUUUUCCAGGGAAUUAGGCCCAAAAAAAUAUAGAAAACAAGAUUGUAUGAGGUAUACUAGCACUAUCCUCAAUGAUAAAUUAAGUAUUUCACAAAUGGUAGAAGGAAAGAUGCAAUUAUUCUUAAAGUUUCAAAAUUUUAUGAAGGUCAAUAAGUAGGGAAGAGAAAAAUAGAAGAAGAUGGAAGGAGAUUACAAUCAAGAUGGUGGAGGGGAAGAGGUAUUUAACCUCUGUGCAAGAACGCCAAUUUGCAUGCAUUUGUGGUGGUUCUCUCAAAUUACAUUGGUAAAUGAAAUAUCAGAAAAAAAUGUACAAAUUAGCGUACAAAACAAAAGGGAAUUAAGAAGAAAGUGGCAGUUAGAGAAGUUACAGUGGAACUCCCUUCUGGAUUCCAACGGACAGUCGCCGUAUUCCUACGCUGUAAUGAAGAAUAAUCAUUCCUACAAUGAGCUUGUGUCCUGUAAACUUGCCGACAGGAGGAACAGUCAAAUUUCUGUGAUAAUCGAAAGUGAAAUGGAGGAGUUGCAGCCGUCAGUUGGGCAAGAGUCUAGCCAUCGUGCCCAGUCUCAGUCGAGUAUGGGCUCGUGCAUGAGAUGUGCAGCAGCGCAGCAGCAGCAGCAGCAAAAUAUGGUAGNNNNNNNNNNNNNNNNNNNNNNNNNNNNNNNNNNNNNNNNNNNNNNNNNNNNNNNNNNNNNNNNNNNNNNNNNNNNNNNNNNNNNNNNNNNNNNNNNNNNNNNNNNNNNNNNNNNNNNNNNNNNNNNNNNNNNNNNNNNNNNNNNNNNNNNNNNNNNNNNNNNNNNNNNNNNNNNNNNNNNNNNNNNNNNNNNNNNNNNNNNNNNNNNNNNNNNNNNNNNNNNNNNNNNNNNNNNNNNNNNNNNNNNNNNNNNNNNNNNNNNNNNNNNNNNNNNNNNNNNNNNNNNNNNNNNNNNNNNNNNNNNNNNNNNNNNNNNNNNNNNNNNNNNNNNNNNNNNNNNNNNNNNNNNNNNNNNNNNNNNNNNNNNNNNNNNNNNNNNNNNNNNNNNNNNNNNNNNNNNNNNNNNNNNNNNNNNNNNNNNNNNNNNNNNNNNNNNNNNNNNNNNNNNNNNNNNNNNNNNNNNNNNNNNNNNNNNNNNNNNNNNNNNNNNNNNNNNNNNNNNNNNNNNNNNNNNNNNNNNNNNNNNNNNNNNNNNNNNNNNNNNNNNNNNNNNNNNNNNNNNNNNNNNNNNNNNNNNNNNNNNNNNNNNNNNNNNNNNNNNNNNNNNNNNNNNNNNNNNNNNNNNNNNNNNNNNNNNNNNNNNNNNNNNNNNNNNNNNNNNNNNNNNNNNNNNNNNNNNNNNNNNNNNNNNNNNNNNNNNNNNNNNNNNNNNNNNNNNNNNNNNNNNNNNNNNNNNNNNNNNNNNNNNNNNNNNNNNNNNNNNNNNNNNNNNNNNNNNNNNNNNNNNNNNNNNNNNNNNNNNNNNNNNNNNNNNNNNNNNNNNNNNNNNNNNNNNNNNNNNNNNNNNNNNNNNNNNNNNNNNNNNNNNNNNNNNNNNNNNNNNNNNNNNNNNNNNNNNNNNNNNNNNNNNNNNNNNNNNNNNNNNNNNNNNNNNNNNNNNNNNNNNNNNNNNNNNNNNNNNNNNNNNNNNNNNNNNNNNNNNNNNNNNNNNNNNNNNNNNNNNNNNNNNNNNNNNNNNNNNNNNNNNNNNNNNNNNNNNNNNNNNNNNNNNNNNNNNNNNNNNNNNNNNNNNNNNNNNNNNNNNNNNNNNNNNNNNNNNNNNNNNNNNNNNNNNNNNNNNNNNNNNNNNNNNNNNNNNNNNNNNNNNNNNNNNNNNNNNNNNNNNNNNNNNNNNNNNNNNNNNNNNNNNNNNNNNNNNNNNNNNNNNNNNNNNNNNNNNNNNNNNNNNNNNNNNNNNNNNNNNNNNNNNNNNNNNNNNNNNNNNNNNNNNNNNNNNNNNNNNNNNNNNNNNNNNNNNNNNNNNNNNNNNNNNNNNNNNNNNNNNNNNNNNNNNNNNNNNNNNNNNNNNNNNNNNNNNNNNNNNNNNNNNNNNNNNNNNNNNNNNNNNNNNNNNNNNNNNNNNNNNNNNNNNNNNNNNNNNNNNNNNNNNNNNNNNNNNNNNNNNNNNNNNNNNNNNNNNNNNNNNNNNNNNNNNNNNNNNNNNNNNNNNNNNNNNNNNNNNNNNNNNNNNNNNNNNNNNNNNNNNNNNNNNNNNNNNNNNNNNNNNNNNNNNNNNNNNNNNNNNNNNNNNNNNNNNNNNNNNNNNNNNNNNNNNNNNNNNNNNNNNNNNNNNNNNNNNNNNNNNNNNNNNNNNNNNNNNNNNNNNNNNNNNNNNNNNNNNNNNNNNNNNNNNNNNNNNNNNNNNNNNNNNNNNNNNNNNNNNNNNNNNNNNNNNNNNNNNNNNNNNNNNNNNNNNNNNNNNNNNNNNNNNNNNNNNNNNNNNNNNNNNNNNNNNNNNNNNNNNNNNNNNNNNNNNNNNNNNNNNNNNNNNNNNNNNNNNNNNNNNNNNNNNNNNNNNNNNNNNNNNNNNNNNNNNNNNNNNNNNNNNNNNNNNNNNNNNNNNNNNNNNNNNNNNNNNNNNNNNNNNNNNNNNNNNNNNNNNNNNNNNNNNNNNNNNNNNNNNNNNNNNNNNNNNNNNNNNNNNNNNNNNNNNNNNNNNNNNNNNNNNNNNNNNNNNNNNNNNNNNNNNNNNNNNNNNNNNNNNNNNNNNNNNNNNNNNNNNNNNNNNNNNNNNNNNNNNNNNNNNNNNNNNNNNNNNNNNNNNNNNNNNNNNNNNNNNNNNNNNNNNNNNNNNNNNNNNNNNNNNNNNNNNNNNNNNNNNNNNNNNNNNNNNNNNNNNNNNNNNNNNNNNNNNNNNNNNNNNNNNNNNNNNNNNNNNNNNNNNNNNNNNNNNNNNNNNNNNNNNNNNNNNNNNNNNNNNNNNNNNNNNNNNNNNNNNNNNNNNNNNNNNNNNNNNNNNNNNNNNNNNNNNNNNNNNNNNNNNNNNNNNNNNNNNNNNNNNNNNNNNNNNNNNNNNNNNNNNNNNNNNNNNNNNNNNNNNNNNNNNNNNNNNNNNNNNNNNNNNNNNNNNNNNNNNNNNNNNNNNNNNNNNNNNNNNNNNNNNNNNNNNNNNNNNNNNNNNNNNNNNNNNNNNNNNNNNNNNNNNNNNNNNNNNNNNNNNNNNNNNNNNNNNNNNNNNNNNNNNNNNNNNNNNNNNNNNNNNNNNNNNNNNNNNNNNNNNNNNNNNNNNNNNNNNNNNNNNNNNNNNNNNNNNNNNNNNNNNNNNNNNNNNNNNNNNNNNNNNNNNNNNNNNNNNNNNNNNNNNNNNNNNNNNNNNNNNNNNNNNNNNNNNNNNNNNNNNNNNNNNNNNNNNNNNNNNNNNNNNNNNNNNNNNNNNNNNNNNNNNNNNNNNNNNNNNNNNNNNNNNNNNNNNNNNNNNNNNNNNNNNNNNNNNNNNNNNNNNNNNNNNNNNNNNNNNNNNNNNNNNNNNNNNNNNNNNNNNNNNNNNNNNNNNNNNNNNNNNNNNNNNNNNNNNNNNNNNNNNNNNNNNNNNNNNNNNNNNNNNNNNNNNNNNNNNNNNNNNNNNNNNNNNNNNNNNNNNNNNNNNNNNNNNNNNNNNNNNNNNNNNNNNNNNNNNNNNNNNNNNNNNNNNNNNNNNNNNNNNNNNNNNNNNNNNNNNNNNNNNNNNNNNNNNNNNNNNNNNNNNNNNNNNNNNNNNNNNNNNNNNNNNNNNNNNNNNNNNNNNNNNNNNNNNNNNNNNNNNNNNNNNNNNNNNNNNNNNNNNNNNNNNNNNNNNNNNNNNNNNNNNNNNNNNNNNNNNNNNNNNNNNNNNNNNNNNNNNNNNNNNNNNNNNNNNNNNNNNNNNNNNNNNNNNNNNNNNNNNNNNNNNNNNNNNNNNNNNNNNNNNNNNNNNNNNNNNNNNNNNNNNNNNNNNNNNNNNNNNNNNNNNNNNNNNNNNNNNNNNNNNNNNNNNNNNNNNNNNNNNNNNNNNNNNNNNNNNNNNNNNNNNNNNNNNNNNNNNNNNNNNNNNNNNNNNNNNNNNNNNNNNNNNNNNNNNNNNNNNNNNNNNNNNNNNNNNNNNNNNNNNNNNNNNNNNNNNNNNNNNNNNNNNNNNNNNNNNNNNNNNNNNNNNNNNNNNNNNNNNNNNNNNNNNNNNNNNNNNNNNNNNNNNNNNNNNNNNNNNNNNNNNNNNNNNNNNNNNNNNNNNNNNNNNNNNNNNNNNNNNNNNNNNNNNNNNNNNNNNNNNNNNNNNNNNNNNNNNNNNNNNNNNNNNNNNNNNNNNNNNNNNNNNNNNNNNNNNNNNNNNNNNNNNNNNNNNNNNNNNNNNNNNNNNNNNNNNNNNNNNNNNNNNNNNNNNNNNNNNNNNNNNNNNNNNNNNNNNNNNNNNNNNNNNNNNNNNNNNNNNNNNNNNNNNNNNNNNNNNNNNNNNNNNNNNNNNNNNNNNNNNNNNNNNNNNNNNNNNNNNNNNNNNNNNNNNNNNNNNNNNNNNNNNNNNNNNNNNNNNNNNNNNNNNNNNGCAGACUAGAGUGCAUUUGUAUCUGAAGAGGAACUACUUUGAGAUGACUAUGCAAGUGCAAGGUUUCAAAUCUCCAUCAAGAAAUUAAGCAGGGUUUGGCAUAUCUGAAUUUGCCUACCCCUCUUUUUUUUUUUUUUUUUGGUAAAGGUAAUAAAUAUAUAAAUAAAGUUAAGGCAAUAUACAAAAGAUCGGCACCAAAAACCUACACUCAUUCCUCAAAAGGAGACAAAGUGUAGGGGAGCCAAUGUAAGAGGCCACAAAGGCAAACAAGGAAGCCACAAGGGCACAACAACAAAACAAACAAGCGGGAAAGAGAUAACAACAAGGCUGACCAACCCUCAGCCCCUAAGGAAGUGGCUAAGAACGGAGAGCCAAGAAAGAUAGGAGCAACUCGUGCAAAGCAGCAACUAAGGAGCACUAGUCAGCCGAGAGAACACCGCAGGGUCGAACCCCCAACCACGCUGAAGCCUCUUAUUCCUCGGGGUAGGAGGAACAUCUUUGAAUGUUAUAGCUUUAUCCCUCACAACCUUAAUAAGGUGGUUUUUUAGAGCCGAGACCACUAAGGAUUCGCCUUGAAAUAUAAUCGCAUUCCUCUUUUUCCAAAUAAGGUGACACAUAGCUGCCAAACGAGAACCGCGCAAUGCAAUGGAAGAAGUCCUUACCAGAUAAGAACUUUAAGGCCCAACUGAGGAUAUCUUUCCACAUCUAUUCCACCAUGGGAGGUUACACCUAGCGGCCCAAAAGUAGGCCAGAGAAGCCGAGGUGCGACACCCGAAGAAUAAAUGUUCAACAGAAUCUGGAACAUCAUUGCAGAAGGCACAAACAUAUAGUCGAUCCUACCAUGAGAAAGAGGCAGCAUCUGGUCGGCAGGCGAUUUUUGGUUAUAAGCCAUAAAUUAAACUGGAACUGCGGGGCUACAGCAUUAUCCCAAACAAAAGACGCCCAAUCAACACGAUCCUUCUUGACUCUAAUGGAAUUCCAUGCUGAAGUUACAGAGAAUGAUCCAGAAGCGUCACAGCACCAGGUAAACCUGUCACGAGCCGAAAAGAGGACCGGAAGAGAGAUCCCCCAUCUUUCCAAAAAGGAUUUAAAUAAACAACCCAUAGAGGUAAACAGAUCCGCAACAACAGCAUUGUCAGGAAGACACAAGCCUUCACGGAAUGAGCAAGGGAUAAAGGCAUCAAGCAGGCCACAAGAAAGCCAGUGAUCAUGCCAAAGAGACACUGAUAGUCCAUUUCCAAUCUUCCACACAAAGGAUAAGCAAAAGUAAUUCCUCAGUUGAAGGAUUUUUUUCCAUGCCCAAGAACAACAACGAGGCUGGGAAGAAAUCCAAAAGUUUCUUCUCUUUAAGAAGUUAGAGUGUACCCACUGACACCACAACGAUUCUUUAUCAGUGAAAAGAAUCCAAAUAAAUUUAAGCAUGGAGGCUUUGUUGUAAUCCUUAAGUUUCCGAAUGCCUAGACCGCCCUCAACCUUUGGGAGACAGACAUCAUCCCAGGAAACUUUGGCCCCACCCCGGCCAAGGGUCGUGCCUUUCCAUAAAAAUUGUCUCAAAAUGCGCUCAAUAUUAUCUAUAAUCGAGGACGGAAGGUUGAAGAUACUAGUCCAAUAUGUUUGAAUUGAAAAGAGCACUGAUCUUAUUAGUUGCAGCCUCCCAGCAAAGGACAGAAAGCGUUGCGCCCAAGAUUGAACCCUGGCAGUAAUACGAUCAGUCAAUGCAACAUAGUCUGCUUUGCCCAAUCUAGUAGUAAUAAUCGGAACACCUAAAUAGCGAACCGACAGUUUCCCUUCUUGAAAACCGAAGGCCUGUAGCAUCAUAUUAUGAAGAGAUGAAUCCCCUCCUGAGAUGAAGAUCUCACUUUUGUUUUUAUUUGGGUAGAGGCCGCUCCAAGAGGAGAAAAUGUCCAAACCCUUUUUUAACAACGUCACCGACGCCCAAUCAGCUUGACAGAAAAGGAAUACAUCAUCGGCGAAAAAGAGGUGAGUCAGUUGCACAGAUUUGCAUCUCCAGAAUAUUUGAAGUCAUUGCUAGCAGUACAGGAGAGCAAGAUUCCAGAGAAAAUUUCCAUGACUAAGGUAAAUAGGUAAGGUGACAUAGGAUCACCUUGCGUAAGUCCUCUUCCAGCAGGGAAAAAACCAUGCAAAUCACCAUUGAUAGAGAUGGAAUAUUUUGGCGUACGUACGCAAACCAUAAUUAGCGAAAUAAUCCACUCAGGAAAACCGAAGGCACGGAGAGCAAGCUCCAAGAAAUCCCAAUCAACCGUGUCAUAGGCCUUAUGGAAAUCAAUUUUAAUAGCACAUUUGGGCAGAUAAGGCUCUAAGUGAAAUCCAGCAAACAACUCUUGAGCGAUGAGGAUAUUAUCUCUAAUCCUCCUACCCUUUACAAAAGCAUUUUGUGAAGGGCUUAUCAAAUCAUUUAAGACAGCAGCAAUGCGAUUAGCAAGGAUUUUCGUAAUGACUUUAUAAAUGGUAUUGCAGCAUGCGAUAGGCCUAAAAUCAGUGACUGCACUUGCAUUAGGGACUUUAGGAACUAGGGUGAGGAUAGUGGUAUUUACCUCCUUUAGGAGCAGUCCCGAAGAGAAGAAAUCCUGGAUUGCUUCCACCACCAAUGGCCCCACUAAGUCCCAAUUAGUCUUGUAGAACUCUACUGAGAAUCCAUCAGGACCUGGGGCUUUGCCUUUGGCAAGGGAGAAUAGAGUAUUCUUAAUCUCAGAGGGAGAAACUGGCUCACACAGGGACCGCACCUGAGCAUCAGAAAGUGGGUGACGAACAAACAUCUUCAACUCCUGAAUCGAAGGUUUAGAUAAAGCCUCAUGAUGAGAGAGCAGAUUCGAGAAAAAACGGACAAAAACUUGCGGCACAAGAACAGGAUCAGUGAUAAUAGCCCCCGACUGAUCCUUAACGGAAAGGAUCCUAUUAGUAAGCUGCCUCCUCUUCACCGAAUGGUGGAAAAACUUAGUAUUCCUGUCACCUUCUUUUAGCCAUCUCACUCUCGACUUUUGUCUGAAGAAGGAUUCUUCUUGAUUCCUCAGAUCAAUGAAGACACGACGCUGAGAUUUUUCCAACUCAGCAAGAGAAGGUUGUAAGGGUCCGAUUGAAGGCUAACCUGAGUGCUUCGAAGGGCCUCUCUUGCUUCGGCCGCUCUCACAGAGAUAUCCGAGAAGGCGUCUUGGUUAAGUAACUUAAGUCGAGCUUUCACAAUUUUCAGCUUGGAAACAAGAAUGUACAUUGGAACGCCUAUGAUGGAAGAGUCCCAAGCCUGACGAACAAUUGAGUUAAAGUCCGGGUGGUCAGCCCAAAAUUCAAAAUACUUAAACGGCUUCCUCCUUUGGACCGGCUGAAGAACUUUGACGAUCAUAGGAGUAUGGUCCGAGAUACCAGGGUUCAAAAACAAAGCCUCAGAGAACGAGAAAUGAAGGUUCCAUUUGUUGUUAACCAGAACACGAUCGAUCUUCCUCAUCUUCCUGGCGUCUCCUGCCGAGGUAGACCAAGUAUAACGGAGGCCAACAUAUCUGAGAUCCAUCAAUUCUGUUUGUGCUAAGCAUUGGGCAAACUCAUCAAAAUAAGGGAUCCAGUCGUUGGAACCUCCAACUCGAUCGGAUGGGUCUUUAAUGGCGUUGAAAUCCCCAGCAACAAGCCAAGCCGAAUCUUGCAUCAAGUCAUUAAAGUGGAGGAGGUCCUCCCACAAAGGUCUACGACGUAGAAAAGUAUGUUCUCCAUAAAUAGCAGAGAUACAGCAGCUCACACCAGACAUAUUAUGCUUCAGACUACCAUGCACAGCCUGGUCAUUGAUAGAGAUAGGCACAAAAGAAACAAGAUCAUGGUUCCAACCAACCCAGAUUCUACCACGAGAAGAAUACUCAUAGUUUGCAAUCCAAUUCCAACCACUAAUUAAGGAAGCCGAGAUAGAAUCAAAAUGUUUCUCAGGAACUUUAGUCUCAAAAAGGCCAAUCGGGCAGAGUUUAUUAACAGCAGCAAAUCUCCUGAUCUCUGCCCGCCUAAGAGGGUUGACCAUGCCUCUAAUGUUCCAAAAGCCAAAAAACAUAUCAAAAAAAGAUAGAGAGUAGAAUUACCUCUUCUUAGGCCUGCGGCCUGUGGCAGGCGCUUUUGAAGCCACCGAGGGUGGUGGAUCAGGAAGAAGCAAGAGGAGCUGUUCUUGCAUACUUCUAACACCAUCCGGAGCUAGGCCUUUUGGCGAAGGGGAGCCCACAGACAAAACAUCUUCAUCAUUUACUUCCAUUUGAGUACUAGAGUUGCAUAUUUCAUCCGAGCUUCCAUCCUGAAGUGAAGAGGAGGGAGCUCCCUUCUCAGCAUGCUUUUUCUUUUUCCUACCUUUCCCCUUCACCUGCUUCCAUUCUGGAUCAGCAGUAGGAGCUGAGGACAUAGCCACCAAUUCACCACCAUCUUCAGAUGUAGAAACCUUAGCAGCAGAGAUCUUCGAAGGCUUAGGAGGAACAAGUGCAAUUGCCUCCAGUUGCAGCUGAGAAUCAAUCUCAGGAUCAAUCAUGUCCAUGCCUGGGGUAGUAAGUGGAACUUGUAAGUCCACCAUAGCCUGUUUUUGCCAAUUCUGAGGGAGAGCAGGACCAUCUGGACAAGUAGGGGAGUUAGGAUGCACAGACUUGUCUUGAGCAGGAUGGGUUCCAACACUAGCAUUGAAGACCUGAUUAGCUUCUGCAGCCGGAACAACAGAGUUUGUAGGAGCAGCUGUUUUACAGCUGUGACCAAAUAUACCGCACACAGGGCAAGCAAGCGGUUUCCAUUCGUACCUACCCCUCUUUUUAAUAAGCUGCGAUGUGAGAAGUACCAAGUUUUCUCUGACCUAGUGAUUCUGGAGAAUACUUGGACAUAGGAACCGGUUAAAAUCUGUGUGUACCGCAGCAUGAGAGUAAUUUGGGAAUGAGAU